UUUUUUUUCUUUUUUUUUUUUUUUUUUUUUUUUUGCGAGAUAGGUAGCACGCUCGCUAUCCGCUUCGUUUAUUUCAUUUAGAAAUAAACAUAGCUAGAAAUAUGAAUCAAUUAGGAUUCGAACUUGAAAUUUCGAAUACCAGCCACCAAGUCUAUUGCCACUUGUUUUAGGAACGGUUGGUAUGGUUAUUAAAAAAUUAGGCUAAUUUUAUAGGGGUCCAUGUAAAUAUAAUGAAUUAUAAAUAUAUUUCUAUAAAGUUCAACUUUUAUAUAUUGUUUCCGUCAAAAUUAUAAUGUUUUCAAAUAUGUCUGUGUUGUUAGGAUCUGUUAGAAAAAAUUAGUUAAUUAUAGGUAAAAUACUUAACUCUAUUAGUUAAUGAGGUGAAUUAACUUUUUUACCAUCUUCAAUUAAAUAUUAGAACGUUUGAAGGGACAUAUUUGUGAUGGCAAAAAUAGGGAUAUAUUUGAAAAUAUUAGAAUUUUUACAGAAACAACAUAUAAAAGUUAAACUUUAUAGAAAUAUAUUUGCAAUUCACUAUAAUUACAGAAAUUUAUAUAAAAUUAACUCUAAAAAUAAUACUUAUUACUCUUAACCCAUGUGGGUGUCUUCUAUUAGCCCAUUCGUGGGAUAAAACUUAAGCGGAGAACUCUCCAACCAGGGAGCUCCCGAAUAAUGUUUUACCAGAGAGUUUUUGAUUUACUGUCACGUGAUAGUUUUAUGUUUAUUCAAAGAUUUGCUGAAUGUUUUUAGAAAUUAAACUUAAAAAAUAACUUUAAACUUUAAAAGGAAAGAGUUAUAACUCUUAUAUUAAAAUAAAAAAGAAAAAUAUGGUGACACGAAUUAAGGCUCCUUACCGAGGCAUCAUUGGAAGCGCCAGGUUUUUCAUUUUUUUCCUACUAAUGGUUAUGUAUAAAAACGGGUGUAGAGAAUUUGAACCCCCAUAGAAACAGCUUAUAUCUUAAAAACUGGAAAUUCAAUGGGUCGGAUUCGGAAUAGAUUUUUAAAAAUCUGAACUCGGACCGAGCAUCAAACCUAGAAUCAUCCGAAUUCGAAUAUGACGAAUUUUAAAAAUUUAUAUUCAAAUCCGAAUCCGAUUAAAAAUUUGAAAUCCGAAUCCGAAAUAAUUAUUUCUUUUUAUAAUAUUUUAAAACAUAUUACAUUAAAUUUAAAAUUUUAAAAAUACAAAUUUAAAUAUAAUAUUAUAUAUAUAUAUAUAUAUAUUAUAAUAUAAAAUUAAAGAAUUCGGAUGGAGUACAAUCAAAAUUUAUAUUUUGAAUUCAAAUGUGCCAAAUUUUUAUUUUUUAAUAGUCAUAUUUGAAAUUAUAUUUAUUUAAUAUCGAAUAAAUUUUUCCAGGAAGAAUUUUAAACUGAGAUAAAAUUUUAGGUAUCCGUAUCCAUGGACGUUCCUGUUCGAAACAUUUGUUCAGUUUUGAAUAUUGAGAGUUCCCUCUUCGCCUCUUUUCCUCCUCGUCUCCUCACUCUAUCUCCUCUCUCUCCCGCACCCUCAAAAUCCCCAAAAUGUCCAGGAAAAUCGCCAUUAAUGGCGUCGCCAAUGGCGUAGAGCCCAUAGGUCGACGCCUCCGCUCCCGCCACACCCCUCUCCGGAGGUCCCCGCGGCUCCGAUCCAAGAACCAUGGCGAGGUCCCGAUGGGAAACCGACCCAAUUCGAAGAAGAAGCCUCGGGGAGCUUCUUCGGGGGAAACCCAUCUCAAAUCUCUCCCUUUCUCAUUGGAAAUCGAGGGGAAGCGUCCAGGAUCCAUCAAAACCGUAUCUUGCGGCCGAAGAAGGUCUCUCAGGUUAGCUUCUACUCAAUCUCCGCUUUCGGAUUCCGAAGGAAUGGUUGGUGGAAGGAAAACCCAAGUUGGAUCUUCUUCGGAAAGCCGGAAGAGCCGUUCCGGAGUUCGUAGUUCAGCGAGCGAUGAUUCCGGUUGCCGAAGAAGAUCCUUGAGGUCGGAUUCCAAAUCGAUGUCGGGAGCCGAUACGAGUUCGCGGCAACACCUUCCAACUGUUUGCGGUAAUGCCUCUGAGAACAGGAGCAAGCGUUUAUCCCCUAAUUUGUGUCAUCUCAAGGAGAAAGAGGAGAAAUUGGCACCAAUCCAUAUGGUUAAAUGCUCUCGUGUUCAAGUGAAUUCGACAUAUAAGUGUUGUGAAGGCUCGCAGGUUAUCCGACGGUCGACGAGGCUUGCCUCAAGAUUGGCGGAGUCUGAGAAGAAAGAUGUUAACUUGGCGUCUUCUGGCGGCACCGAUUGCUGUAUGGGACUAAGAAGAUCUCAAAGGUUAGGUUUUGGUUUACCGAAACGUAAUUCGGAUUGUGAUGUAGCCUCGGGAAAGAGAAGAGUGAAAGGUAGUACUAAAGUUGUGAGCAAAGUUGAGACUAAUGUAGAUGGGUUGAGUAGUGAGCAGGAUGCAGGAAAAUGUGGAAAGGAAGUCAAAGGUAACCCCUUGGAGAUUACAAAGAAGGAAGUGGGUGAAACGAAGAGUAAAAAGAGAGCGAGAAGUGUCAAAGCGGAGCCUGAGGUAGAGAGGAGCGAGACAGAGCAAUGUUGCGGCCUUGAGGAAUGGACAGAAGAGCAAGACACAGCAUUGCAAAGGGCUUACUUAUCGGCCAAGCCAUCUCCACAUUUUUGGAAGAAGGUCGCCAAAAUGGUAUCAUUUUGAAACUCUUUUUUUUUUUUUUUUUUCCUUUCCCUUCUGUUCUCAGUUUGUGAUGGUCAUGUUACUUAAUUUACGAUGCCGCUAUAGUUUUGCUGAUAUUAUCUCAAUUCUCAUAGAAAAUUACCUGUCUUACUUAGAUCACAGUUAGAUCUCAUAUCUUUCACAGUAAGCAACUAAACUACAUGGUCUUAGAAUUUCACCAACUUCGGCAUUGAGCUGUUGAAACAUUUAAUUGAACUAUUGUAGUCCUGGAAAUCUUGAUUCACCUUUUGUUUUCUUUCAUGUUAAUGAGAGAACAUAGUUUUGGUUUUUCUGUAUGAUUUCUACUAUAGUUGCCUUAGAGUCUUAUCAGUUUCUUUUUCUUUCUCUUUAAGAAAUUUAUCGCUGGAAUGGAAUCUUGCAGGAUUGUAUGAUUGGCGUUCUUGAGAAACAGAAUUGCUAAUAUUUUUCUUUUUCUUUGAGAAAUUUGUGGUUGGAAUGGAUUCUUACAAGAUUGUAAUGAUUUGCACUCUUGAGAAACAGUAGUUAGACCAAAACCUUUAAUUGUGGUGGACUUGCAAAUAAUGCUAGAAUUUUAUUUGUUUUAAGUUAGACUCUGGGGAAUGACACUGUUUUUCACGGAAUUUUUCAAAUUUUUUAGAUUGUAUAAGAUAUGUACAUUUAGUACUUUAUCUUCCUGGUGCUCUGGUUGAUAAAUAGCAUGCUUAAAUGAGGAGAAUUGAUAGCUGGAUCCUGUGUCAUUUUGUGAUUGCCGAUACAAGCUUAAAGUCUAUGUUGUGUUGAUUAACUUUUUCCUCGUAAAUAAUACAAGUGCAACUGGUUAUUAAUUCAUGGCUGUUAAAGACAACCAAACAGUCCUUUUUAGAUGGUCUAAUAUGAUUAUUGCAGAACUGGAAAUGCUUUGGGUGGGAAUUUUUGUAAUAAUUUAACUAUAGUUGCUAAUGUGCAAUAGUUUUCAACUAUGUUGGUUAUUGGCGGGUCAUGACCAUCUGUAACUCCAGCUGUUCUCUGUUUACAAGAAGUGUUAUUGCAUUAAAAGGGGGGGGAAAAGUUCAUGCAAGAUCUAUCCAUCUGAAAAGAAAUCCUUUCUUUUCUGCUUGAAAUUCGUUAUUUCUUAUUUGUAUUAUGUAAAAUGCUAACAUCCCUCAUCUAAUGUUAAGAAGUAGAACCAAGAUUCCGUGCUUAACAAACACUGAAGGAGAAACAUAGUAAAAGCACAGAAGAAAAUGUGGAGGAGGAAUUGUUGUGAUGCUAAUGUUAAAUUAGGCCGGAAACUGCUAAGAAUGAAAUGCUAUCAUUUUAUUUGAAGGGACAAUAAAUAAUAAGCAGUUUUACAGAGAAGUUGCAGAUCCCAAUUGAUUGCGACCCGGUUUUAUUUUUGUAAACUAUGCUAACGUAGGAUAACUGUAAAUGUGUUAUCAUUGGAUAGCUUGUUGCGACAUCCAAAAAGGCCCUAAACUUAUUUUCCUGUAGGCAUAUUUCAGGGUCGCUACCUUGGUGAAAUGCAUGUAUUUUUAAGCUUGCGUUCUAUACUUCUGUUUCAUCGAGUUCACCAACCCAGAAGCUCUAUUGCAUACUAGAUAUUCACACUUCUCAUCAAUGCAUUUUAUAUUUCUUGCUACAUUUCUUGUGCAUGUGUUCCCAAACAAGUAUUCGUGUGAUAUUCUCUUUCAUAACUGUAACAUGCUUUGGCAUUCCAAAUGUCUUUAGGUACCCGGAAAGUCUGCUGAGGAAUGCUUCAACAGAAUCCACGCCGAUCUUGCGACCCCACCUCCAAAUCAGCCUCGUUCAAGGUUGAUUAAGAUCCAUAAUUCCCCAACAGAAAAUUUCAAUAUAUUAGACUGCAAUUAUCCCGACCUCAUUGAAUCAAAGGUUAAAAGGCAUAGGAUCAAAAAGCAAAAGACCCAUGUUACACAGAAGACUCUAAGACAUUUACUCAAGAAGCGUAGCCUCGCAGAUCAAGCUCAAGAGGCCGACCAUUUCUCGGUUCUUGAGACCUCACCGAGCCCAUUACAGCUUGACUUUCCCGAACUUAAGUCUCCUGAAAUAUCUAGCACUAUUUUAAGGUCCUCGUCAUCAACGCACAAGAAGAAGACCAAGUCCAGGUUCAGGCCUGGCCAAGUGGAUCCAAGCCCUGAGGUGCUUAAGAGGAUCAAGAACGUUGCGCUGCACGAGAAGUACAUCGACCAACUACAUUGCCGUGAAGCAAAGAGAAGGACUCAUGCUAAGGGGAAGUUCAUAUCUCCUUUGUCUAAUAAAGAUGAGGCCGGCGUUAUUCUGAAAGCUGCGCGGAAUGCUCUAAUCUCUGAAGCCAGUAAUGCGAUUGGCCAGUUUAAGCACAUGCAGGCCAACCCAACUGAUGAUUAUGCAGAAUUUGAAUCUGGUACUGAUGAUGAUGUUGAUGAUUAAUCUUCUGAUGAUCAUGACUAAGCAUGUUACAUUUCAUUGCAAAAAUUGGUUGAUUCUUUUUACUUCUGGCAAAGAUUGUUGUCGUCGCCGUUUGCUGUAAAUAGUCUGAAGCAGAUGAUCAAGGUGGCUGUUUUGUUUGGCAACAUUUCUGGUAUUGAAUAUCAGCUAAUCCCUGGCUCUACAAUCCACCCUUCAACUAGAUACCUUUGUUGUAUUCGGAUUGCAUUUUUCUUCAUUUUAUUAACUAGUUCAAUUUGCAAAUUACAUGGGAUUGAUUUGGUUGAGGGUUAUUCUGUAAAAGCGUUUUUGAAUAUAAAUGCGCAUUAGUGUAACUAAUAAAACAAAUCCUAGUUUUUGGAUGAGUUGCCUUAUGUGAUUUACACCAAAGUUGUGUGUGUACAUUUUCUCUUUUUUAAAAUAUUUCUGACUUUGUAAAUGAAAAAACAGUAUAAAUGGUUGUAUAGGAUCAUAGGAACAUAUAUUUUUAAAAUUUAAACAAUUUAAAUUUAAAUUAAUUGGGAACCAUUCAUCAUGCCACCAUAUGAGACCUGUGCUCAGAUUUCACAUGCCACAAUCACCACAAAAUCCACACUACCAAGAAAAUCUCCUCUGCUUCACUCUCCUUCUCCUUCUCCAUCUCCAUCUCCCUCCUCAAAACCCUAACCCUACCACCAUCCAAAAUGUCCCUCUCCUCCCCCAACCCUCUUCUCCUCCACCACCACCAUUCCCACCUCUCCUCCCUCCCCCCUCUCCCCUCCUCCUCCUCCAUCCCCAACCUCAAACCAAGAAGAAGAAUCAAAACCCUAACCCUCUCCCUCCACUCCUCUACCUCCUCCCCCAUCCCCACCCCAAACCCUAACCCCACUAUCCCCACCCCUUCCCCUUCCUUACGGUCCAAAAACCCUAGCGACGUCACCGUCCUCGUCACCGGCGCCACCGGCUACAUCGGCCGAUUCGUCGUCCGCGAGCUCCUCCGCCGCGGCUUCGCCGUCGUCGCCGUCGCCCGCGAGCGCAGCGGCAUCCGCGGCCGCGACGGCCCCGACCGCACCCUCUCCCUGCUCUCCGGCGCCUCCGUCGUCUUCUCCGACGUCGCCGACCCCGCCGCCCUCGACCGCUCCCUCUCCGCCCUCGGCCGCCGCGUCGACGCCGUCGUCUGCUGCCUCGCCAGCCGCUCCGGCGGCGUGCGCGACUCGUGGAAGAUCGACUACGCCGCCGCGCGCAACACCCUCCUCUCCGCCCGCCGACUCGGCGCCGCGCACUUCGUCCUACUCUCCGCCAUCUGCGUCCAAAAGCCGCUCCUCGAAUUCCAGCGCGCCAAGCUCAAAUUCGAAUCCGAGCUCCAGUCCCUCGCCGCCGCCGACGAGAAUUUCACCUUCAGCAUCGUCCGCCCCACCGCCUUCUUCAAGAGCCUGGGCGGGCAGGUCGAGACCGUCAAGGGCGGCAAGCCCUAUGUCAUGUUCGGCGACGGAAGGCUGUGCGCGUGCAAGCCCAUCAGCGAGGAGGAUCUCGCCUCGUUCAUCGUCGAUUGCGUUCUCGAUGAGGAUAAGAUCAACAAGAUCCUGCCGAUCGGAGGGCCUGGAAAGGCGCUGACGCCGUUGGAGCAGGGGGAGAUGCUGUUCCGCUUAUUGGGCCGAGAGCCGAAGUUCUUGAAGGUGCCGAUUGGGAUAAUGGAUUUCGCGAUCAACGUGUUCGAUGUUUUGUCGAAGGUGUUCCCGUCAUUGGAGGAUGCGGCGGAGUUUGGGAGGAUAGGAAGGUAUUACGCCGCGGAGAGUAUGCUAGUGCUCGAUCCGGAGACAGGGGAGUAUAGCGCGGAGAAGACGCCGAGCUAUGGGAAGGAUACAUUGGAGGAUUUCUUUGCGAGGGUGAUAAAGGAAGGAAUGGCGGGGCAGGAAUUGGGGGAGCAAACCAUCUUCUAGGGUUACCCACGGCGAUGAGAGGUGGCAAAGGUGAGUUCUUGCUAAUCAAUUUGUUGAUACUUGGAUCAAAUUCUUGUUCUUUUGGCAAAUUUAAUUGUACAAUAUGUGCAUUAGAAUGGCUUAAAAUUAUGAAACAAAUUUUGCACUGCAGUACAUGCGAAUGUAAAUCCUGAGCUAAUUUGUAAUCUACUGUAUAUUUUAGCAUGAUUUUUGUGAGACCUCUCUUUUGUGGAAAUAGGAAAAAGAUGUGGUGGUUACAUUUAUUCUCUCUUUUAUAUUUUUUUAUUAUCUGCAAGAAUCAUCAUACUCUUAGUUUUUUUCAUAUUGAUGGUGGCCAUCCAUCACCAGUAUUCAUUCUGUCGGCAUUGGAGAUCAGCGUUAGGUUUAAGAUUGUUAUUAAGUGGGCAUGGAUCUGCAGAUUAUCAUUUUAGGAUUGGGGAAGAAAAUAGGAGUCGCCACGGGAAGAUGUUCUAAAUAAAACUAUGGUAAGAGAAAAGAUGAAAUAUAUAGUAGUAACCAUGUGUGUCAAGUUCAUCCUAAAUGGAUCCACCCUAGUCUAACUAAUUUAUACAUCUCAAAUUCGCGUACUCGACAAACACGUCUUCACGUAGAAUUUUAUGUAGGGAGUGUGUUUGACAUGACACAGUUUGGACAUGAUACCGACUUUGGAUUGUUUCCUUGGCUGCAAGAUCUAAGAUCUUCCAAAUAAGCUAAGGAAUGCCUUGGCGUCUGGUUUAUGCAUUUCGGAUUCAAUGCUUGGAGGAGAGCACAAAUACUCUGCGCAACAGUGUCUUGGCUUCUAGCUUGGCUUCUGGCACAAAUGCAUAAACUAGUAUGAAACAGAAAUGCCUCGGCUUCUGGCUUUCCGCUUGGCUUCUGACACUUGACAAACCAGUAUUUGGCUCUCGGCAAUCUCCCUCUAGAGUUCCGCCACAACGGCAAUAAAAUAUCAAUUACUCCUAUCAUCCUAGGGUUGAGAAGAAGAUCAUUCAAGCAGUGGAAGAAGGGGGCUACCGAAUGUGCCUGAGUGCAAGACUUAUGAUGCGGAUCUUAACAAAAUGCCCUUAUGAUUCCACAUCAUCUUUCGGGGGCAGAUUAUGAAGGCUCGCCUCGAAAUUUUUCUUGUUCAUCAUUUGGCCAUGGAGGUGCUUCCUUCUUAUUUCUAAAUCUCCUUGUUAUUUUAAUCUUAUUCUCUUAUCUUGUAGUGUCACAAGGUGGUAAGAUCGACAUUACAAGGCUCAAUGCUGAGGGUCACCUUCUUUAGCGGCUUAGAAUGUAGUCCAUCAGAGCCGGUCGGAUGUUUAUUAAAUUCCUGAUAUGGUCUUAGUGAUAAGUUUUUAGUUAUAUAAGCCCCGACAAAGCAUUGAGAGUUGAUUUACCCAGUUGUAGAACUGCAAGCCUUUUGCAUCGUAGAGAUUCCUCAGCUGGCAAGACUCUGACGGGAAUCUUAAACUAUUUGGGGCCUUCCUUUCUGGAGAAUGUUUCCGCCUCCGCUUGACGGUCCUUGCUGUUCAUGCUGUAGAAGGAUAACAGGUCCUUGCUGUUCAAGCUGUAGAAGGAUAACAGUCGUCGUUCCUUCUCUUCAUUCGAUAUUCUUAGGAAGAUCUCUAGUGCACGAUCUAGAUUACAAUGGGAUAAGUUGGGGUUGCCAGUUGCGGUAGUUGAUUUUUGUAGCUUCGAAGGAAGAAGAUGAUGAAAACCCUAAAUGCUAAUUUGUUCGGAGGUCCAGUGGAAUUUGCAUACCGUUUUCAGCUGGUUCUUCUAAAUGCGAUGAAGGGUAGUGCACUAAUUAGGGCACCUUUGGAAUGGAUUUUUGUGGAUUAUAUCAAUGCCAUGUGGAUUAAUAGGAAGUGUCCCUGAUGGCCGCGUUUAUGCUUUAGGAUACGCAAUAGGUAUGAGGGGCAUGUAGAUCCAAAGUAACCUAGGAGUCCAAAAAUGUAAAAACUUAUAAACGUGAAAUGACAAAAACCAAAUGGAAAAAUGUACUGUAAAAAUGCUCACUUUUUGUGAUUUGUAGUUUUGUACAUAUAUAAAUUUGGUAGUAGAUUUUAUAAAUCAUAUGUACAAUAUGAAUUGAAUUCUUUUGUCAAGUAUUGUGUGUGUGUACGAGUUGUACAGAUAUACCACCUACACGUAAUAAUUUCUCACCGAGGCAACAUUAAUGUGAGAGGGAGAAGAAAUAUUGCCUAUACCGGGCAUGUAUACGGCACUCUUGAAAUUUUAUUAUAGGAAUUUUAAAAUUAUAAUCGAAUUUAUUGGGGAUUCUUUGUUACAUUCAAACAACUUAUAGUAUCAAAUAUGAUAAAUUUUACAUGUUGAUUUUCUAUAAAUCAAACAAUAGUACUUUAAUUUAUUGUUUUUUCUUUUUGUACUAUUGAUGCAUUGAUAAUAGGUAUUUAACAUUUGCGAUCAUUCAUACAAAGGUUAUUUAAAUAGUAUAAAUCAUAUCAAUGAAAUAAAAUUAAUGAGAUGUUUGUGAUAUUUGUGAUACAUUGGUUGCAGUUAAAGUUUCUCAGAGAAUGAGAGGCUGAAUCGGAGAAAAGUUUGGAAUAUUUCAAUUCUCCUCUCGAAAUAUAAGUUGUAGGAGAAAGUUUCUUCCAAUUUGGCGACAGGAAUGAGUCCAAAAUUUUGGUAGAUUAACCAUUAGUAUUAAAAUUUACAGAAUAAGUAUUAGAUAUAAAUAGAUUUGAGAUCAUACAUAUGUUCUCAAAGUUAAGCAGAAGAUGUAUUUGGGCCAUUAAAAUACUAUUCUGAAACAUAUGAAAUUGAGAUAGAUUGCUUUCUUAACUUACCAUUAGAAAGAUAAUUAGGAUAACAAUAAUAAUAUGUGAUUUUCAUAUAAGUUUUAGAGUAAAAAAAAAUCCACUAGCUGUAAAAUUGAUUGCUUUUUAGAAAUGUAGAUGAUACUGUGAUGGGCAAAAUAUGAAAGUAUAUCAUAAAGAUAAAUAUGUUGAAUUUUUUAAAUUAUUUUAUUAAUAAAAAAUGAAAUAAAAAUUAACUAUAAUAAAUGUAAAUUAAAAAUUAUAUUAGAAUAAGUUGUUUGCUAGUUGAAUUGUUUGCACCCUUCCAAUUUCAUAUUUUUCGGUGCAUACGAUUGAUAUAGUUGACUUACAAAAUGUUUUUUUAAAAAAUUAUAACACUUGAUUUCUUACUAACUAUAUAGAGAAAUUAAUUGAGAAAUUAAUUUGCCAUUAUACUGCUAGCGGCGUUGUAGGUUCGAAUCCUACUUGGGGAGAUUUGAUUAAUUCUUAAUUAAAGAAUGAAGAAUUGAAUUAAAGGAAUCGCUUUGACCGUUAGGAGUAGGUAACCCGUUCCCUAUCUUUGUUUCUUUGUUUCUAUUGCAUUCUGUCUCAUCGUAUUGCAUUCAGUUCUACGAUAUUUGAGCAUCGCCGUCAAUACCUCGGCGUAGAUUCAGGAUAAUCCUUUGUAAAUAACCAAUCCUAAUUACUUGUUCAUUUUCAAAAUUACAGUAGCACUAAAAAUGGUUCGUUCUAUUCCAUAUCUCUGUGGGGAAAAGGAUUCAUCAACAAUGAAUAAAAAGGUUUCUUUUGAAUAAUAUAUCGAAAAUGGAACAUGACCAUAUGAUACAAUAACUAUCGGUAGAAACAUCCUAGAUGCGAAUUCAUAUUUCGAUAUAUUAUUCAAAAGAAACCUUUUUAUUCAUUGUUGAUGAAUCCUUUUCCCCACAGAGAUAUGGAAUAGAACGAACCAUUUUUAGUGCUACUGUAAUUUUGAAAAUGAACACGUAAAUACCCAUCAAAGGUAAGUAAAUAUACCCGAAACAUAUAAAAUGCGGUAAAUCCUGCUGUGAAAGAAGCUAUUACUGCGAAAAUUGGUGAAUACAACCAACUAUCAUUAAGAAUUUCAUCUUUGGACCAAAAACAAGCAAGAGGUGGAAUACCACAAAGAGAAAGUGUACNAUGUUGUAUUUUCCGGUACAUCAUUAUGGAUUGGAUUAGUCUUUUUGGUAGCUAUUCUUAAUUCUCUCAUUUCUUAAACUUAUUUGGUAUUUCCCCGAUCCAAAAACAAAAAUGUCACUCCUUCAAAUAAAUUAGAAUUGUGUGAGAUAUUAAGAUUCAAUCCGAGUUCUGAAAAAAAUUCUAUUUCAAUGUUAUUAAUUAGAUUUAAUAAAUAAGAUUAUCUUAAUUUAUCUUAAUUGGAAUCUUACUUUACUAUAGUAUCUGAAGUAUACUAUAUAAGUUUACUUUUCACUAUACUAUCUAAGUAUCUAGCCCUACACAAAUAUAAUUCAGCCGCAUAUAUGUCAUAUGUGUAGGGGUGUAAAACGGGCCGGACGACACAUGGGCCGCCCGGCCCGGCACGGUACUGGCACGGUACUGUAGCACCCAUGCCGGGCCGGACCGGCCAGAAGCUCUGGGCCGUACUGGGCCGUGCCAGCCGGCCCCGGACCCCAUGGCCCAAGCCAGUUUGCCUUGGGCUGCCUUGGACCAUGUGAUCUGAGCUCCUGGCCUCCCCAGGAGCUCUCCUCCCAAGUUCUGCCGAGCUUGGGAGGUUAAAUGGACUAAAAUAUUUGGACCAAAAUCUAUCUUUUUUUAAAAAAAAAUAAUAAAAAUUUAUUUAUUUUUUUAAAAAAAUUAAAUAUUUACUUUAGUAUAAUUAUUUUUAUAAUUUUUAAUUAUUUUAAUCAAAAUAUUAAUUUAAAUGAAAAUAUUGAAUGUUUAUAUUUUUAAAUUUUUUUAAAAAAUUUUAAAAUAAAUAUUUUAUUAAGCCGGCCGGAACCAUGGCCCGGCCCGGCAUGGCCCGUGCCUUCCGGGCCGAAGGGCAGUGCUGGGCCAGUGGACAGACAAUUUGGGCCCGGCACGGCCCGUCCCGAAAUUAAAUCUGGGCUGGGCCGGGCCGGCCCCUAGCCCGUUUCGGCCGGAAAAAUGUGGGCCGUGCCAGUCCGGCACGGCUCACAUUACAUCCCUAUAUAUAUAUAUAUAUAUGUGUCGACACAUACGUACAAACUAUUUGACUUUUCAGAAUUUCCUCUAAUAUCUCACAUCUAAUUUCGUAAAACAUAUGGCUAAUAAGUAACAAAACAACAGUCUAAAAAACUUAUUUAUGGUUCUUAACUCAAGUCACGGUCUAACUUUUGUAAUACUUUAUCAAGAUAAUAAGGUUUAUGAGCAACAAUUAGCAGCUAAUACCUUAUUCUUGAUUGCGAGAAGAAGACACUUCCAAUUAGAAAAUGUUGAACAACAAGUAAUACCAUACAAGGUUAACUGAUACUUCUUCCUUACCUUGUUUAUUAUUGUUUAAGGAGGUAUUCAUGUGGAAAAGUUAGUAUUCGGUGGGAUAUGUUUUGUAGAUUAUUUCCGCUUUCCUUUACCACAGUUUUUACUGCUUUCCUUCUAAACAUUUAUUUGUUUUUCUCUUAUCAAAAGUAAGAAGAAACAAAGAAGUUUCAACUUGUAUGAAUGUAAUUAAUCGUAUGAUUGAAUGUUGUGUGAUGAUUUAUACUUCUUCGCCAAAGACUUUUUUUUUUUUUCCUUCGCUCUUUCUAGAAUUGAUUGGGCACACAGUAGACACUUGUGGGAGCAUUCUUUAGUUGUGAAUGUGCACUCAAGUUAUGUGAGGUUUUUUUUAAGUGGCUUGAACAAUUCGUACUGUGUGAGCCCAAGAAUGAGAAGUUUUGAGUGCGGCCAUAUCAUGAAUUUGUCAUGAUUCUAAAUAUUCUUACUAUUCAUUUGGAAUCUUUGAAAGUAUUACAUGAAUCUAAAACUAGACAUGAAACGUGGAAUUUUAUUGGCAAAAGUUAUUAUGUGCAAGUUACAAUUGAAGGAUGAAUCUAAAAUUAGGGAUAAGCUUUCAGACACUUUAGGCCAUGACGGGAACGGGACAGUGGACAAGUAUCCACACGCAGCAUUGGACCAUCCGAUGACCGCCAGACGGUGCUUAUACAAUACGUCGAUGACACAAUAUUCUUCUGUGAACCAAGAAAACGUUUUAUGCACAAUCUGCAGUUUCUCUGGAAUAUGUUCGAAUGGGCCUCUGGGCUCAGAAUCAAUAUGGAGAAAUCGGAACUGCACUACUUGGGGCCUAACCCAAACAAGGCCGCAAGACUUGCGAACAUUUUAGGCUGCCAAGUCAGGCGAUUACCAUUCCGCUAUUUGGGUCUACCACUUCACAAUAAACAACUCCGUAAGGAAGACUGGGCUGUCGUCAUCAAUCGCAUUGAGGCAAGAAUCGAAGGCUGGAAAGCUAAACUACUAUCGCUAGGGGGAAGACUCACGCUUGCUAACUCGGUUCUCACCAACCUGCCGCUAUUCUACUUUUCUAUCUUUAAGGCGCCACAGUGGGUACUGAAUCGGAUUAAGGGACUCAGAAGAGCUUUUUUUUGGAAGGGGUGCUCCAAAAUCACCGGUGGUGCGUGUCUUGUCAACUGGAAAAUUGUUUGCAAAAGUAAAAAAAGAAGGGGGACUUGGAAUCUUAAACUUAAAAUCCAUGAAUCUGGCCCUAUUAACGAAGUGGUGGUGGCGCUACUCUACUAAUCCAGACCUCCUUUGGUGUAAAUUGGUUAGAUCUCUUUACUACGUCUGGCGAAAACCGCUACUUGAGGGUAGAUGCUUUGUCCCGUAUUCGCAGUGGUGGAAAAGCGUGCUCUGUUGUCGAGAAGUGUUUUCCUGCGAAGUAACCUUUGAGCUCGGCAACAGAAGAAAUAUCAGGAUGUGGCACGACAUCUGGGUCGGAGAAACCCCUCUUAAUACCAUAUUCCCGGUCAUCUUUCGAAACAUCAGGAAUAAGGAAGCUCGGAUUUCUCAGUGCUGGAAUCAGGACGGCUGGAGAUGGCGCUAUAUCUGUCGAGGCUCCAUGGCGGCCCUCUCUACGGAUAAACGUGGACAGUUGUCGAUGCUUAAAGACUUGCUCCAAGGCCACCGCCCAAGCAACAGACCGGACUUGAUCAGAUGGCGAUGGACCUCCGACCAACUAUUCACUAUCAAAUCCAUUUACCAGUUCAUCACGGAUGCUGGGCUGCGUGUCCCGAUGAAUCAAUAUAUUUGGAGCCUGAAAAUUCCUGUUAAAAUUAAAGUCUUCAUUUGGCUUCUUCUUCGGAAGAGAUUACCCACUGCUGACAGAUUGCUGACCCGAGGCAUGAACGUAAACCAAAACUGUGCUUUCUGCGCGGUCCUCACGGAAAGUUGCGACCAUAUUUUCAACGAUUGCGUGUACGUUCAAUUCCUUCUCUCAGUAUAGGAGGAUCAGACACAACUGACGUCAGCAGAGGAGAUGUUCGAGAUAUCUGGGCCGGAACUACUGAAAUCCUUGCUGGCUCUUCGAGAAAACAAGGCUUGAUCCUCCUGGCUGCGACUUGGUGGGUAAUCUGGACGGAUAGAAACAACUAUGUUUUCAGAGGAAACCCGCCCAAUGCCACCAGGUCUCUUGAACGUGUCAAACAACUAAUUAGCAAUUGGACCACAAUGCUCUGAUGUCUCUUCUGUACCCCUUCCUCUGUUCCACUCUCUUUUGUUAACUUUACUCCUUUUGUUUUAAUUUCUAUUUUUGCCUUUUUGUCGGGUUUUCGGAGGCCUAAGCUGCUUCCAACUUGUAUGCUCAGUUCAUCUAACUUAAUGAAUGAAGCGGGUAGCUUGCUACCUAUUUCUAAAAAUAAAAAAAUAAAAAAUAAAAAAAAAACUUUCAGACACUUAAAUAUGUAAAUCAGAAUCAAACCCUUUUCCAAAUAUUCUGUUAUCUCUAUAUUCCUAUUUUUCCCAAUUGUAGCAGGGCUACCUGGCCAAGUGGGGUCAGCUUCAAAGGCAAAACUGGAAUUCCAAUCUAUUUAGACAUGUCUCAAAACACCAAUGCUACUUGCAGAUCACCUUUCUGAUGUAUAUCUUUCAAAUUCAUCAUCCAAUGGCCAUCUUUUUGACAGUGGUCUUAUUAAUCUCUUGUUUUUUCAAUUAAAAAAGUGAAAAAAAAAACCCUAAAGUGCUAAUUAAUCUAAACCCUAGGCAGCCAUGGUGUAAGAUUUACACAACUUACCUAUACAAGAAGUUGAGCUAUUAUACUAGAAAUAGUAGAUGAAUAAUAUUUAGGGAAAAUUUCAAAAACUCCCCCUGCGGUUUCGUAGUUUCUCACUUUGCUACCAUGUGGUUUAAAAUGUAUCAAUUUGCCCCCCUGUGGUUUCUUUUUUCUCUUUUUCUUAUUAAUUUCAUUAUUUUUUUUUUCUUAAAUCAGUGAUAAAAUUAAAAUUAAAGGGUACUAAAGUGAAUAUUUGAUAAAUCUAGAUGAGCAUCUGAAGUUUUUUAUAUAUAAUUUAAUAAAGUAUUAACGAAAAAGCUACCAAAAAAAUAAAAACGAAACCACAGAGGGACAAUUUGAUACAUUUUAAACCACAGGAUAGCAAAGUGAGAAACUAUGAAACCAUAUGGGUUGUUUUUGAAGUUUUCCCUAAUAUUUACUGUAAACUUUUUAGCCUUUGUAUUCAUACCAGUACAAUCACUAAACAGUCAACUCUUAACAUUCAAAAGAAGAGCUAAAAUGUUGAUAAUAAAUAUUAUUUCGCUAUUAUUUGUGGUAAACAUUUUUUUUCACAAAGGGAAAACCAAUAAUUAAUUCCACACAACUCCAAAGUACUCCAAUGUCAUUAUUUUUGGCAUAUCUUUAGCCUUCAGUAUAAUCUCUGUACCUCUGCUAGGUAAACUCAAUUCUCACUUCAUAGUUACAAUAACAAAACUCCUUUAUUAAGCUUUCUAACCAGCAUCUUUCUUUGGUUUUUAUAUAUACAACUAAAAGAGAGCAUAAUUACCCACUAUAUUAAAACACAAGCAUGAUAUGAGGAAAACCUUGUGAACUAGUUUAGUAAGCAUAUAUCCUGAAAAUAUAAUAAGUAUAUUUAGGAUUACGCAGUAAUGAGUUCUUCUGUAUCCUUUCUGCUUCACCUAAUUAUUGUCCGCUUGAUUCAUCUUCGCAAAGCGUCCCUUGAUCCUCAGCCUGCUAUCGGCGCGUGCUUUACGUGAUUCGUACCGGAUGAGCUUUUCGUACCUGUAAUUGAUUAAAAAAAAAAGAAAUCAAUACACACUUAGAAAUUACAAAUAGCGAGUACCUAUUUGGCCUGGCUUUAUAAAUAACUUCUUUUCUUUAGAAAGCAGAAGCUUCACCAACAAAUUCGUCUUGAGGUUUUGUUGUGACGAGAAGCUAAAAUAAGCUUUUGCGUCCGAUUAAAACAUUUCUCCUCGACUUCUUUCACAGUACGACGCUGAAGAGAUGGUUUUAAUGGCGAAACUAUUAUUGCUUCUUAGUGAAACAUUUCUCCACGACUUCUUUCAUAGUACGACGCCGAAGAGAUAGUUUUAAUGGAGAAGCUAAAAUAAGCUUUUGCAUCCGAUUAAAACAUUUCUCCUUGACUUUUUUCACAGUACGACGCCGAAGAGAUGGUUUUAAUGGAGAAACUAUUAUUUCUUCUUUGUGUAGCAUUACUCAAACAUCACUUCUACGAAUGUUCCAGCAGGGCCGAACAUGCCGAACAUGCCCUGGGAAAAGAGCAAGAGAGCAAGAUAGAAUGAGAUGUAGAGGAGAAGAAAAAUCUUUACUCACCGCCUCGUCUUUCUCUUCUCCUUAUACCGCGAGAUUACAGAGCCGCGAUCAGGGCAAGGUAGAUCAUGUCGAACUCUACUCGGCAAAAUUUGAGCAAUUUUUCCACCGGCAGCUUGUCCACUGGUGUCGCUGCCGACAGCUCCAUUGCUUGUACCUGCACAUAUGUCUGAGAUCUCGACAAGCGACGACACGGUUCCUUCUGCGGAUUUGAGAGGGUAUUGCUCAUAUGGAAACUGCAUGGACAAUGUCUCAGUAGGAUUUUGAUACUCUUCGAGAUUCCACUUUGAAUCCUGCAGAAAAUGAGAAAAGAAAAAAAAAAAUACAAUCAAUUCAUAUCUCAUGUCUCAGAAUAUUUGUGUACCUUACUUAACUUCAAAACGUUCAAUAAGAAGAGAAAAGUGAAUCAAACCUCAUAAAUAGGUACAACUAUGUUCGUAAUAUCGCCACCAAUAUCGGGACCUGCAUAACCCUGUUGAAAUGCAUGCUCCGACGCCCAUGACUGAAACUCCGCGACUGGUUCUAACUCCUCAGAAACUGUACUGAUAACGGCCUCGGACAUGGUGAGUUCCUGAAGCUGCCGAAGAAUCUCUUCUCUGCGCUUUCCGCAAGUCGAGUCCCAGUUCUUAUGCAAGAAGAAGGUUAAAGAGAUUUCAUUUGUCGGAUGACACACAAAAGAUGUUUAUGAAGUUGCGUCUAUGAUUGAAAAUUUUUAGAACACCUCAAGAACACAUGAACCCUAUAUGAAAAACUAAAAGAACAAAAGCAUCGAGGAAGCUAAUUCUAGUAAGUAGAAUGAAAUACAGCAUCUCAAAGAAGGCAAAAAAAAAAAAAAGAGGACAAAUGUGCUGCCAUAAAGAAACAGUGCUACAAGUGACAGAAUUACUUUAUACUUCUUCGUCACUCAUUCAAUGUCUCAGAAGAAAUAGAGAUAAGAGAUUGGGAUAGAGAUAUAUGACCAUUAGCGCAUACUCCUUAGAUCUUAACUAGCUAUGAACCCGUGCUCUGCAGCGGGUAUAAUUUGUAAGUUUUUAAUUGUUUUUGUAGAAUACAAUACAUGCUAUAUUAUUAUAUAAAAUCACUUUAUAGAGUCGAAACUCGAAACCCAUAACUCCCCCAAAUCCCACCCAGAUGCCUUAUCAUUAGGAUACAAGUGACUUAGCGACCUGUCAACAACAUCAUAUACUUCAAUCAAAUUAUACAUCACAAUCUUAACUUUAAAUCAAGAUGCUAUUAUAUUCUUAUCACGUGAUAGUCACGUACUGACGAAGACAACAACAAUGGUCACAAAUGUAGAGCUUCUUUUUUGUUGAUUGAAUUAUUUGACAUAGAACUUUUUUUUUGUUGGGAGAAUUAGGGGUAUAAGCUCUACCGCGUACCGCCCUAUCAACACAAAAUUCUGUCAAAAUUUUACCCCAAACAAACUUCUGACUUCGACUUUCCAACACAUUUUCUCUUUUUUAAGAGACUUGGUAGCUUGAACCUCUUACAACACUACUUAAGAGUCUCUCUACCUAGGACUCAAACCUUUGACCCCAUCACAUCCCAUCGGAUGUCUAAGACAUUAGUGAUUUGAUGACUUAUCAACACCCUCGAGAACUUAAAUGUAAUACACUGAACUUUUGCAACUUGCGGAGUUCGAGUGUGUCGAAUGAAGUGUGGUGCUAUCCUACAUAUUCUAAAAAGCUUGGACAAGUUUUUGGACAAGUUAGAGGGUGACUGGAAAGCUAAAAGCAAGAAAGUGCAUUGAUCUGGUGAAUUCAGUAGUUUUCUGCUUGGUGUACCGGUACAGCCAUUAUGAUGUACCGGUACACAUGGUAAAACGUGGCAGCAAGGGUCUUUUGAUCAUUUCACAUCUUGAUCCUAUCUAGUUGGCCCCAGCUCGACUUCUGGGGCUCAGGGGAUGUAGCUGGAGCUCAGAGCAAGCUUCCUUCAUCUUCUUCUCUCUCUCUCUCUCUAGGAUUUUUCUCUCUCUACAUAAAAGUCGCCGUUUUGCGCCGUUUUCGCGCCGCGCUCGUUGCUCGCUGAUUGGAGGACUCAAGGGAAGUCUUUGGAACGUGGGGAGAGGGAAUUUUGCUGAGUUUUCUGUGAGGUUACUACCUGAGAAGCUGGUUGAAAGCUUGAGAGAGGUAAUUAACUUGAUUUUCUCUCUAGUUUAUGAUUUAGUGUCGACUCUUGAGCCGUUUUGGUAUUGUUGCUUCUAACUGAAUUAGAAGGUGUUUACAGCAGUAAAGAAGGGUUAUUUUGGCUACUAAUUAUCCAUCUAAACUCAGAGAUAUGUUGCUUUAAAGCUUAUUAAGGAUAAUUAGUGAGUUCUAACUCAAUUUCGGAACUAUACGCGGUUUAAUCGGGUAAUUGACGCAGUUUCGUAUGAUCUCUUCGCAGCAGGUCUUUGAGCCUCUUUGAGCUGAACUUGUACUCUUAGAAGCUGGUUUGGAAGCUGUUCUAACUAAGGGUAAGCAGGAAUUUCUGUUAGAAAUUCAAUUUCGCAAGAAUUGAACUAUAUAAGCUCAUAUAUAAGCAUCCUGACGCCGUUUUGGUAUUGUUCGUAGCGAGAGGAUAUUUGACCUUUGGGCCGUCUUCGUUUGGCAUUGGAGGGCCUUCCGGAAGCUUAACGUGAGGUAAUGAACUGAGCCAAAACAGGAAAUUAAGCUUCCACUUCGUAUUAAUUGAGAAUUUACCGAAAUUGACUUCUUAUGUAAUCGCUUCGAUGCGCAUUUCGUGCUUCGUUUGCAGCAGGGCUGAGGCCUAGUGGAGUUGAUUUCGGGACCCUUGUAUUCUGAUUUGGAACCUAGUACGAGGUGGGUUUGACCUAAUCAGAGCAAGUGAAGCUCCCCUAUGUUCUAUAUGUAUGGAAUUGAUAUAGUUGGGCGAUAUUGGCACAAUAUGGUUGUUUGGAACUUCUUUGCCAUAACAUUGAAUAGAACCUCUAUGAAGUAGAGAGAAUUCAUGCAUAAUUGUACUUAUGCUUAUGUUUAUGUUUAUCUUUAGUUAAGUUAAAUAACUUUGUCAUGUGACUAUGUUGAUAGUGCCAUGAUAGUGGAAAGAUUCUAAUGCCAUAUAUUAACUAGCAUUACUCUCACAUGUUUGUUAAUCUAGUGGAUACUAGUUGUUGUCAAUAUUGGUUAUAUUGAAAUUCCGAUCAAAGGAUCGAGAGCGAGAAUAUUGUGAGCUAAAUUGUGAUAGUUGAGACAUGUUGGAUUGUGGACCUUGCUUGCUUGCCAUCGUGCUCAUUUGCACAUGCUUGUGAGGGUAGCUCCCUACAAGCCGGCACUCCGGAGUUGGCCUACGCGACAGUUGCUCGCCCGUGCGGGAUUGGGUGCCGAAGUGGAUUGCCGUGGAGAGUGUACACUACCACGGGGCCAUUAGGCGCGGCGCAAGCUGGACUACCUUGAGUAGAUCCCUGUGAAUGAAAGGAAAGUGCUAAAGAAAAUUGGACAGUAAUGAAUGAUUACCUGUUACAGUGUACAGUAGUUACUUACACAUUUAUACUUAUGUUCAUGCUUAUAGUAGUUGCUACGCUUCUAUUAUUCAGUUGAUUCAUUACUGUUGAGACUAUGAUUAUAUGUUGCUUACAUGCUCAUUACCUGUUAGCAUUGCAUAAUUAUAUAUAUCAUGUAAUUACUGCUUUUACUUUCAUUCAGUACAUCAUGAGCCUAGUGGUGUAAUUCGCCGAGGCUGGCGGCUUACCCACUGGGAACUAUUGUUUAUAGUUCUCACGCCCUUUUGGUGGUUGUUUUUACAGAGCCUUCUACAGGAGAGGUUAGGGAUCGUGGCAAGGGAGUCGCGUCUAGCUAGACAUUGCUAGGAGCAUGCUAGUCGAUCACCUUGCUACUCAGGCUACAGCCGAGGGUGAUAUCCCUAUGUAUAGAGAGACUACCAUUGUAUCUACUUUUGUAUACCCGUGAUGUAUAUGUACUAUUGGGACCAGACUCUAUAGUUGUGAUACUUUCUCUUUUAGUUGAGAUUUUGGUCUGUACACUCUUUGUUCUUUAUUUGAUACAUAUUUCGACUUGUACAUUGCUCUGAUAUCAGGAUAGGAUUUUCCUUGUUCUACUUCCUAUCGACUUGCUUCUUGUAGACGCCUUAUAUACUGCAGGUGUAUGGCGGGUCUGUGCACGUGCCGGAUAUGCUUCCGCUGGUAUCCGGGCGUGACAUUAAACUAUAUUACACAUUACCACCUUUAGUUUAAACUUAAGAUGCCAUUAUAAAAUUUCAAUAAUUUUCGUAUCAUGUGACUGAAAACAGUUACAACAUUUGACACAGAUAUCAAAUAGGAGGUUGCUUGAACUGUUUCACAUGGAUUUUUUUUUUUUUUUUUUUUUUUUUUUUUUUGUGGAUAGGGUGUAGAAUCUGUCCCAUACAACUCUAGCCAACUCAAAUUUCUAUCAAGAUUUUACCUAAACAAUCUUCUAACUAUAAAAUUUCAACAUUUCUUUUCCUUUUUUUCUUAAGAACAUCGGAGUUCGGCCCUACCUAAAGUCUCCCUCCUUCAGGGACUUGAAUACUUAACUCCUUCAUAUCCCACCAAAGUGCCUUAUCAUUAGGAUACUAGUGGCUUACUGACUUGUCAACACUCUCAUAUAUACCAGCCAUAUUAUAUAUCACUACCUUAACUUUAAACUCAAAAUGCUACUACAAAACUCCCACAAAACAUUUUCCUAACAAGUAGCAGUCACAUCGCAUGCUUACUGAAGAUAGCUAAAAUACUUAACACAAACAUCAAAUAAGAAUAAGAGGCUAUAAUUGAUAUCCAACCCAAAUUUUCAGUCAAGAUUUCACUCAAACAAACUUCUGACUUAAACUUUUCAACACUUUUUUUGUUUCGUGUGUGUGUGUGUGUGUGUGUGUGUGUGUGUUUGUGUGUUUAAGAGAAUCAGAAGCUUGACCCUAUACAACUUUGACCCCGCCAUAUCCCACAGGUGCCUAAUCAUUGUGAUAUAGUGAUUUGGAAACUUAUCAACAUCCUCCUGAAUUUCAGCUAGAUUAUACAUCACCACCUUACUUUAAACUUAAGAUGCUAUUAUAAAACUUUAACAAAAUAUUUUUUUCUAUCACACAACAAUUAUAUGUUGAUUGAAAACUGCUACAAUAUUUGAAUACAAAAAGGAGGUUGAUUGAACUAUUUAACACGGAUUUUUUUUUUUUUUGUGGUAAGAAUAGGGGUAGAACCUCUGCCUUAUGCAACUCUACCCAAUUCAAAUUCUAUAAAGAUUUCACCUAGAAAAACUUCUAACUGUGACUUUUCAACACACAUUGAGAGUUUGACCCCUUACAAUCCUACCUAAAGUCUUUUACUCUAGGACUCAAACCCUAAACUCCACAUCCCACUAAGGUGUCUUAUCAUUGGGAUACCAGUAGCUUUGCAACUUGUCAACACCCUCAUAAAUUUUAGUCGUAUUACAUAUCACCCUCUUGACUUCAAACUUAAAAUGAUAUUACAAAAUUUUGACAAAUAUUUUUUCUGACACAUGACAGCCACAUGCUGAUUGAAGAUAGCUAAAAUAUUUCACACACACAUUGCAAAACAAUAGGAGGUUGAUUGAAUCAUUUUCCUGUUUUUUUAUUUUGUUCACGGAAGCUUUGCCGCGUGCAAUCCUACCCAACCCAAAUUUUGGUCAAGAUUUCACUCAAACAAACUACUAAUUUGACUGUUCAAAACUCUUUUUUCAGAGAAUUAGGAGCUUGACACUCUACGACCCUACUCGGAGCCAAAUCUCAACGGUUGCGCCUGAUUAUUCGGAUAUUAGUGAUUUGGUGACUUAUCAAUAUCCUCCUGAAUUUCAGCUAAAUUAUACAUCGCCAUCUGACUUCGACCUUCAAUACCUUUUUUUUCUUUUUUUCUUUUUAUAUUUGCAGUUUAACCCUCUACAAUCCUACCCAGAGUCUCUCCAAUCAAGACUCAACCCUCAACUCUCUCACAUCCCACCAAGGUGCCUUAUCACUAGGAUACUAGCAGUUUGUUGACUUGUCAACACACUCGUGAAUUAUAGCCAAAUGACAUAUCACCACCUUAACUUUAAACUCAAUAUGCUCUUAGAAAACUUUGACAAUUUUUUGUUUCCUUUCACGUGUCAGUCGCAUGUUGAUUAAAAAUAGCUAUAAUAUUUGACAUACGCAUCGAAUGGCAACAAGAGGUUGAUUGAAUUGUUUUAGAUGGAUUUUUCUUUUUUCUAAAAAAAUCGGGGGAAGAAGCUAUGCCACGUGUAAUUCUACUCAACCCAAAUUAUUCUUAAGAUCUCACUCAAACAAACUUCUAACAUCGACUUUUCGACACUUUUUUUAGAGAGAAUUGGGAACUUGACAGUCCAUGAUCCUACCCAGAGUCUUUCUACCAAGACUCAAAACUUUGACCCCCACCUCAUCCCACCCAAGUGCCUUAUCAUUGGGAGGCUAGUGUUUUGGCUACUAAUCAACAUUCUCAAUAACUUAAGCUAGAUUAUCAUCACCAUUUUAACUUUAAACUCAAGGUGCUACUAUAAAACUUCAAAAAUAUAUUUUUCUUGUCAUGUGACAGCCACAUGCUAACAAAAGAUACCUAUAAUAUUUGACACAACUAUCGAAUAGUAGGUUGAUUGAAUAGUUUUACAUGAAUUUUUAUUUUAUUUAUUUAUUUAUUUUGAGAAUUGGGGGUAGAAGCUCUAUCCUAUACAGCCAGCCAUAUCUAACUUAAAUUCUGUAAAGAUUUCACCCAAACAAACUUCAAUAUUCGACUUCUCAACACAUUUUCUUUUCUUCUUUUUUUCCCCUUUUUUUUAGAGAAUCAGUAGCUUAACCCUUUACAACCCUAUCUAGAGUUUCUGUGCCCGAACUCAAACUAUUAACCUGCCACAUCUCAGGUGCCUUACCACUGGGAUAAUAGUGAUUUGGCGACUUGCCAACAUCUUCGUGAACUUCAGCUAGAUUAUACAUCAUUACCUUAACUUUAAACACAAACUUUUGCAAAAUAUUUUUCCUGCCACAUGGAAGUCAAGUGCUAACCAAAGGCAGCUACAAUAUUUGACAGAAACAUAGAAUAGGAGGUUGAUUGAAUUGUUUCACAAGGAUUUCUAUUUUUUUUUUUUUUCCUUUUUUGAAAAUUGAGGGUAGAAGUUGUACCUUGUCCAACCCUACCAACUCAAAUUACUCUCUAAAUUUCACCCAAACAAACUUCAAACUUCGACUUUUCAACACAUUUUUUCCUUUUUUUUAAAAGAAUCAGGAGCUUGGCCUUUUACAACCCUAUUUGUAGUCUCUCCACUCAGGACUCAAUCCCUUAGCUCCCCCACAUCACACCCAGGUGCCUUAACAUUCGGAUACUAAUGAUUUCACGACUAAUCAACACCAUCAUAAAUUUCAGCUAGAUUAUACAUCAGCAUCUUAACUUUGAACUCAAAAUAUUAUAAUAAAAUUUCGACAAAACAUUUUUCCUAUCACGUGACCGUAACAUGCUAAUUAAAGGCAACUACAAUAUUUGACACAAACAUUGAAUAUAAGGUUGAUUGAAUUGUUCCACAUAGGUCAUAUUUGUUUAAUAAGAAUCUAGAAAUAGAAGCUUUGUCUCGUACAAAUCUCCACCGAAUUCAAAUUUUGGUCAAAAUUUCACCCAGAACAAACUUCUAACUUUGACUUUUCAACAUAUAUAUUUUUUUCUUUCUUAUUUCUCUCAUUCUUUUAGAGAAUCUACAACCCUAUUUGGAGUCUCUCCACCCAGAAAUCAAACCUUAAUCACAUCCCAACCAGAUGCCUCCUCAUUGGAAUACUAGCGAUUUGACGACUUGUCAACACUCUCAUAAACUUCAACUAAAUUAUGCAUCACCAUCUUAGCUUUAGCCUCAAAAUACUAUUAUAAAACUUAGGUAAAUAUUUUUCCUAUCAAGUGACAGUCACAUGCUAGCAGGAGACAACUACAAUAUUUGACACAAAUAUCGAAUAGGAGGUUGAUUAAAUUGUUUCGCAAUGACAUCUUCUUUUCUUUUCUUUUUUUUGAGAAUCAGGUGGUAGAAACUUUUACCCCUUAUAACCCUCAAGUUUCUAUCAAGAUUUCACAGAAAUAAACUUCUAACGUUGAAUUUUCAAUACUUUUUUUUUUUGAGAGGGAGAAUGAGGAGUUCUAUUCCUUACAAACCUAUCCAGUGUCUCUCCACCCAGGACUCGAAACUCAAUAUCUGACAGAAAAAUAGAAUCAAAUCUUGAUUGAAUUGUUUAACAUGAGGGUUGAUUGAAUUGUUUCGCAUAGAAAUAAAUUAAUUUCGACUUUCACUCUUCGUACAACUAUUUGCAAUCUACUUCUUUUUCUACCAAAAUUUGACAUAGCAUGCAAAAUAUUUAAUAGUGUGAAAAAACAACAACAACAACAACAACAACAACAACAACAACAAAGAGGAGAGAACAAAUAAAAGAAUCACUACCUUAGGCAAAGGUGGAGUGCCCAGAGCCUGAAACCCAUGAGAGGAAGUAGUAGGCACAAUCAGAUCCUCCAAGCUAAACACCGGCGCCGCCUCCGCCGCCGCUGCCCCCGCCGCCCUCCCCACCUCCUUCUCGUCCCCUCCGACCCCGAGCAUCGCCGCCAGCUCUGCCGCCGAGGGGCAUCCGGAGUAGCUCUCCACCGCCCGGCGCUCGACGGCGCUAUCGAGGAGCGGAAGAAUUCAGUUCGGAAUAUCAAAUUAAAGUAGAUCACUUCCUUUAUUUUCAGCUCUGUUUGCACGUCAGAAUAAAAUAUAACAUGGAAGAUUUUUUUGCUCAUGUGAUUGAAAUUUAGGAGUUUGAUUUUUCAUUUUUAUUCUGAAAAACUAGUCUGAAAACCGAAUAGUAAACAUUUGAUCUCACUUCUCAUCACUUAGAGACACUACAUGCUUCUUGAGUAGAUAGAAGAACACAAGCAAACUGGGACGGGCUCGUGUUUGCUUUUUUAUUAAAUGAGCCGAACACAAGCUAGUUUGAUUGAAAAAUUCGGCGUGUAUUCGACCAUAGGUUUAAUGGCGAAGAUGCUUAUGUCACAGGCAAUUUCCCUACCUUACCCUUUCCUUAUUUAUCAUCUCACAGGCAAUUUCCAUACCUUUACCUUUGGUUUUCAUAAAAAUAUUCAAAAUAGAUCCUCUAAGGACUCUCCAACAAUUAAUACUCAGAUUAGACCAGACCAUCAGAAUCCAAACAGAGUCACUUGACAAAAUAACACGAAAUCUUGAUUAUAUUAAAAACCAAAAUACUUUAAUAGAACAAAAGAUUUCUUUGAUAGACUACAGAUUAAGCCAACUAGAAGCAAGACCCCAAAAGAUAGAACAAAAGCUACUCACAAUUGAACAAGAUUUACAUUCAAGUCUUCAACCUAUUUUUACCUUUUCCCCUUUCUGUUAAAUUUAGUGAGAUAAAGAGUUUUAGAAAUAUAAAAAACAACCGAAAAAAUUUUAUUCGUAAUUUCUAGAAGGAAGUACCAGACGGGACCUACACCAAAAUUUGAGACAACUUAUUUUUCCACCACGGAGACGUCACAUUCCAAUACCAUGGCCAGCCGCAGUUUUGAAAAAAUCCAGAUGCCGCUGCGGUUUUCAGAAACCUAUAAUACUGAAAAUUUUCCUAGACAUAGUAUCUCUACAGCCCCAGAAGAACAAAUUUACCCAUAUGGUCGAAAUUGUCUUCUUCAUCGUCUGAAGAGGGACCUUUGUCAAUUUCUUUUUCAUAGACUAUAUUACUUUCUAUGGAGUAAAUAGUUUCAGCAUCUGAUAGAUAUUCAUCUACUCUUAGUAACGUUUCACCAGUAACAGAGACCUCAAGCAUCCCCCGGCUCAAGGUAUUAUAUCUCUAUCUCAAUCUCCCUCUCCUCCUCCUCCUCCAAAGUAUCCUCCUAUAAUAACGGUAACACCGAGUUUGGUCUUUCCUCAUAGAAGGGAGUACCAGACGGAACCUACACCAAAAUUUGAGACAACUUAUUUUUCCACCACGGAGAUUUUAAAUUUGAACUUCAUCCUAUUUCUAUCUCUAAUUAAGAUAUCCUUUACUGCCUAUUUUUACCUCUUCCCCUUUCUGUUCUACUGCGAGUUUAAAAUUAAACUACACUUCUCAGACAUAUAUUUAUCUAUCCCUAUUAAAUUAGGAUUUAACUGCGACCGUUUUCACCUACAAAUACAUUUUAAUUUGAGUUUUUAAGCCCCCAGGUACAAGUUAAAAAAAAAAAAAAAAAAUUUCACGUGACUGUCACAUCCUAUAAUUAGCACUAAUUACACCACUUAAUUUUCAGACCAGAAAAAAUCCUGAAAAAUCCUAAAAAAUUUGGUGAGAUGUGAUACAUAAUGUGGUUGCAUUGAGGAUAAAUCUAAGAAAAGUUUCCUUUUCUUUCCUCUAUCUUGAGAUAAAGAGUUUUAGAAAUAUAAAAAACAACCGAAAAAAUUUUUAUCGUAAUUUCUAGAAGGGAGUACCAGACGGGAACAUGUCUGAAAAUAUAAACCGACUCGAAACUAUAAAAAUAAACUUCUUUGUUAUACAUGCAACAGCCCGAACCAUCCUUGACUAUCAAAUAUACAUUAUAGAAGACAUUAGUGAGAUAACCUUUUUAUCUCACUAAAACUACAACUUAAUUUUCUGGUCUGAAAAUUAAGUGGUGUAAUUAGUGCUAAUUAUAGGAUGUGACAGUCACGUGAAUUUUUUUUUUUUUUUUAACUUGUACCUUGGGGGCCAGAUUAUGUAAUAUAUUAAAAAGUAACCUCCAAAGAUUUGCUUAUCCAUUUAGGCUAAUUAGGAAUGGGUCUAGGAUUUUAUCACAAUUUUGUCUCCUUAUUUUUAUAUUUCUAAAACUCUUUAUCUCAGUAAAUUUUCGAUGAUGCAAUUUUCCUAAGACUUGGACUUAUGAUGAAAUUUAAUUUUCUAAUGUGGAUAAUACCACUUAAGACAUAGUGUCGGUGCACAAGACCCUCUUGGCGUACAGUUUUCAGAGAACCCCGCUCGUCUACUCUUAGUAACGUUUCACCAGUAUCUUCUAUAAGUGUUGAGUCUCGAUUUUUCAUAUUUUGUCUUUUUGGACAAGCAUUUGCCCCCGAAAUCCUACCACUAUAUUACCAGACGAACAAAAAUGUUUAAUUGACAACUUAUGGUUAUGUUACCAACCGAAAAAAAUUUUAUCGUAAUUUCUAGAAGGGAGUACCAGACGGGACCUACACCAAAAUUUGAGACGACUUAUUUUUCCACCACGGAGAUUUUAAAUUUGAACUCAUCAACAUAGACAAGAACAAAAUCACGAUACUCAUUAAAAAUUGAGUCCAUUUUUCUUUGGAAAAUUGAAGGUGCAUUUUUAAGGCCAAAAGGCAUAACGAGCCAUUCGAAAUGUCCUUCUGGGCAGGUGAAAGCUGUCUAUUCACGUGCCCACUCCAAAUCCAUGCACCAGCUCGUGCACCAAGUCCACCGUAAUUCUCAAGAGCCCCACCAAAUGAUUCCAUCCACAGCAAAACCUUCUCCGCCCUGGUUUUUUUUUUGAAAAACUAUGGGCCCCGCGUCAUCAUGACCGUCCUAUAGCCUUUAUAUUGGGGGAUUGAGUUUUUCGAAAAUCUUCUUGGCUAUCUGUAAGAUUGAUCUCUGUACUAUUGAGUAUAUACAACGCUUUUACAGAAUGAAUAUUCAUUAUCUUUUAAUUGUUUAGUGAUUUGAAUAUUAGCACAUUUUUCUUGUAGUAUAUUCAUUAUGAAUUUUACUCUUUGUCCUAUGGACCAUUUUGUACCGCGGCGGCAUCUGGAUUUCUUCAAAACCGCGGCUGGCCAUGGUAUUGGAAUGUGACGUCAUGAUGACGCGGGGCCCAUAGUUUUUCUUCAAAGGCUAAAUAUCCUCUGCGAUGAACUAAGAACAAAAGAUCAAAACAACCUCCAACGAAUUGCUAUUUUAGAACAGCAGAUCAGAGACCUAAGCAUCCCCCGGCUCAAGGUAUUAUAUCUCUAUCUCAAUCUCCCUCUCCUCCUCCUCCUCCAAAGUAUCCUCCUAUAAUAACGGUAACACCGAAUUUGGUCUUUCCUCCUAUCACCAAUAUAGAUAUGCCUUCUCCAAACCUACUAAUCCCAGUAGUCCACCCAUCCACCUCUGUGAGACCCAUUCCUAUAUCCUCUCCCCUCUUUCCAUUACAAAAAUUUUCACCUCGGAAACGACCACAGCCAAUUGCCAAACCAUCCACAAAUACUGAAUCCUCAUCAGAACCUUUACCAAACCUUAGCUUACUGAAUCCUCAUCAGAACCUUUACCAAACCUUAGCUUAGAUAAAACAGAAGAAAGACAAGAUGACCCUAUGAUACUAAAAGCAUCUUCUCCCUUGUGAAUAGUAAGUUAGAUCGCCCGCUUUAUUAGUAGGUGAAAAAUUAAAAAAAUAAUAAUAAAAAAAUAAACUUUUAAUCUAACAAUUAAAAUUUUAUAAAAUAUAAAUUUUUUUAAUAUAUAUAUAUAUAAUGAGUAUAUGAGUUUAUAUUUAUAUUGCAUCUAUAUAUAUUUAAGCUGUAUCGGAGUUCGAACCACGAGCGAGCUGGCCCAGCAAGAUUGGCGAGUAAGUUCAAAAUUAACCGAGUAUCGAUUUUCAAACUCAUUUCGAGCGAGCCUUACUCACGGAGGCUGCUAGGCCGCCGCCGCCGCCUGCCGCCGCGGGGCGGCUUACGAAGUCGCGUUGGAGCAGAGCACGCGGCUGACCUGCUGCUGCUGCGGACGGCGGCGGCGGGCGGCGGAGGAGGGGGGACCGGAGAGCGGAACGGGGAGGAGAAGGCCGCGGGAGGGUCGGCGGCGCAGGUCGCAGAGGAUGUGGAGCGGGGUGGGGGACUGCGGACACGGCAUGUUGGCGGCAUGGAGGCUGCUCCGCUAUGCAAGGGUCGCACCGCAGGCACAGGCCGCGACGCGUCCGCCCUUGCAGUAUACACACGCCGCGCCGAACCCCGCCGCGCAGAAGUCGCAGAGGACCCGAUUAUGUCUCUCCUCUAACUCCUCCUCCUCUCCUCCUCAACCGCCCGUUCUCCUCGCCUCUUUGCUCUCCUGCCUCUUUGUGUCACUGCUGCGUCUUCUGGCCUUACUCCACCAUUGUGCGAAACUGGGGAUAUGCUCGCAUCAAUCGAGACGCCCUUUUUUUUUUCCGCCUAAUGUUUGGGGGUUUCUUGAAUCCUGGGUGGAGAAGACGAAGAACGAGAUGAGUCGAAGGUGGGAUGAGAUGAUGAUUGCAUGAUGAGAAUGGGAGGGCGGAAUAGAGGAGGCGCCUGUGAGCGAUGUACAUACCGUUAAAAUUGGAGAGAGAGCAGUGAGGGGGGGUGAAAAGGGCGGAGAUUUGCGAGAAGAGAACCGAGAAAGGGAAGGGAGAGACUAGUAAGAGAGAAGAGUGCCUAGAAUUACGAAGUAUUUUUUUUGGGGAAAAAAAAAUUCCUUCUAGGAAGAAUGCUAACAUUUGUUUAUUUUUAUGCUAAAAAAAAAAGAAACAUUUUACUAUUAUAAUAAUAAUUUAUAUGAAUUUUUCGAUGCACAUCUCCUAGAAUUAUUAUUACAUAAACCGUUUUUUUCUAUCUUCAGAGUGAGUAAAACAAAAGAUAAAAAUUGUUUGAAAAACAAUGCUCUCUUCGAUGAAGGUUUAUUCGAGCUGCGGAUUCAUUUUGGCUUGUAAAUAUGAGUUUAUAUCGUAGUAGCUUUUUUUUUUUUUUCCUCUCUCUCUCUCGUGAAAUGGCGAGAGAUUUUUUUUUGGUUUUUUUCAGUGCUGUAACUGUCGAACUGGAAGGACCAGUGUCAUGCGUUCACACUGCGCUGAGUCAUGCUACCUGCUGAGUCAUGCUCUGAUGCUGGGUAAAAUUCUGAUUAAAUAUUUAUAAAAAUUAAAAUUUUUUUUAGGAAAGAUUUGGUUCACGAUUGGAAUAGAAAUAAAAAAUAAAAUUCAAUUAAUUUGGAAUGAAAAAUAGAAUGACGAAUUAUUCAAAAAUAUUUAGUUCAUUAUUGGAAUGAAAAUUAAAAUAAAAAUUUAAAAUUUUUGAGAGAAGGUUUUGAUUAAGAGAGAGGAAAGUGAUGAAGGGAGAGAAGAUAGGUGUUGAUGAAAGAGAAUUUUGAAUAGUUUACUUUGGAAUAAGCCAAUCCGAAAUUCAAAACCGGAUUGGAUCAUAAAUAGAUUUGGCAAUUUUCAUUCCAGAGUGAAAUGGGAAUCGGAAUCCGAUUCCUAUAAAACAAACGGCAACUAUCGGAAUCAAUGAAUUUCAUUCCGAUUCCAUAGUCUAAGCAGAAUAAAAAAGGAAGUGUUUGAAAUUUUUCAGACAUAUGUAAACAAUUACUUCUUUUCUUUCUAUGCAUGUAUAAAAUAAGUAAAGCUUACAUAAUUAUUGAGCGUUUGAGUUAGAAUAAUCAAAAGCAGAGUACUAUUUAACAAUUUGGGGCAAUUUCACCACUACCCCUCUCAAAUAUGUAAAUAUCGUAGAUCCCCCUGCAAAAUUUAAAAUAUCAUAUAUGUCGCUUCAAAUGUAAAAAUUUUUUACAAUUAUCUUUCCUUCUAACGGCUGUUACUAUAACCAUGAUUAAAGUUUGAUUAAAUAAAGGUUGAGUUACAAAAUGACUAAUUUAGCCCUAAAAAUGUUAGGUGUUAUUUUGAUAGCAAAUAAUUAAGGGGCAAUAAUUAAGGGGCAAUUUUAUAAGUAUCCUUCUAAAUUUUAAAAAUAACAUCUCUAGCACUAAUUAUUAGUGGGUAAAAAAUAAAGAAACCCCUCACCUAUAGAUCAUUUUGAACUAGACCCCUUUAAGUUUUAUUUUUUAACAUUAAAAGACCUUGAACUAUCAUUUUUUAAUUGAGAUCCCUCACAUGAAUUUGAUAAAAUUUUUAAUUUUGUUAGAAAAAAACACUCAAUUGCUAAAAUUUAAAAAAAAAACACUUAGAUUGAGAGGGUAUAUAUAUAGAAAGUUUUGUUAUAAUACUAUCGGUAGUACAGCUUGGUUUACGACGAUUUGUUUUCAAUGAUAGAACGUUCAAAUUGACAAUUAACACCGUUAAACAUGAUAUAAACCAUUUAAACUAUCUGAAAAUCAAAUUUCACGCUUUUCCGAGUUAGGAUCAUGUGGAAGUGGACUAUAGAUGAGAGAGUUUUCAUAAAAUUUUACUUUAUUGUUAACAAUAAAUUUUUAAUUAAAAAUUUUUUGUUUGAGCAGAUUAUAUAGGUAAUACUCUAAUAUCAAGAAUUUUCGGGCUUUUUUUGCAAAUAGCCCCCUGACAAAUUUUAUUUACAAAACUAGCCCCGUCCAAAAAUUAUUUGCAAAAAUGGCCCUGCCUCUGCCAUGCCAGCGCCACGUCAGCGCCACGCGGGCAGGGCGGGCCCAGGUAUUUAAGUUGAACACGGUGAACCAUUCACCGUGUUCAGUACAAGAUUUUUGUAUUGGACACGGUGAAUGGUUCACCGUGUCCAAUACAAAUACCCCAACAAUGGCUAAGUUGGAGGUAUUUGUAUUAGACACGGUGAACCAUUCACCGUGUCUAAUUAUUUGUAUUGGACACGGUGAAUGGUUCACCGUGUCCAAUACAAAUAUUUCGAUCUUAGCUAUUUUGUAUUGGACACGGUGAAUCAUUCACAGUGUCCAAUACAAAAAUUUUGUAUUGAACACGGUGAAUGGUUCACCAUGUUCAACUUAACCAUCUGGCCCAGCCCCGCCCGCGUGGCGCUGACGUGGCGCUUGCGUGGCGGAGCCAGGGCCAUUUUUGCAAAUAAAUUUUUGACAUGAACCAACUUUAAAAAAAAAAAAUUAUAAGGGGGCCUAUUUGCAAAAAAAGCCCAGAACAGCUUUGAUAUCAAAAUAUUUUUAGCAUGAGAUAUGUGAGUUAUUUAAAUAAAAUUUUUAAAAAUAAAUCUUUAAAUAGUUAAUGUUGAAUUCUACUAUGGACAAAUGGUGGUGGAAAUUUAAUGGUCAUGAAUCAAGUCCUCCUUGCCAAAUGGUGGUGGAAAUUUCUUACCGCGCCUCAGUUGCAAUGGAACAAGAUAAUUCGUGAGCUGUUCUAUCUUAGAAGAAGACCACUAAAAGAGGGCAGGUGCUUUCGACCAUCCUCCUUUUGGUGGAAGGGCGUUCUAAGUCAAAAAGAUAUAUUCAACUGGGGAGUCUGCUACAAGUUGGGCAAUGGGCGUAUUAUCGACUUUUGGUCAGACCGGUGGUGUGGAGAAACCACUCUCUCUUCGACUUUUCCUGAGGUGUUCCGAUCAUCGACUCGUAAAAGUUUGAAAAUCAAUGAAUGCUCAAACAGUAACGGCUGGUGCUGGGACAAGAUUCUAAGUAGCACCAGCACUAGUAACCACAGGAUGACUGCAUGCAUCUCGGCCCUCAAGGCAAGGCUCUCCUCCUUCAAACCUGGACUGGGACCGGACAGUGUGCAUUGGCGGUGAAGUCCUGACGAGCGUUUUAGUGUGAAGUCAACGCAUUCGGGAAUGUGUGACUCGGGGACGAGGGACGAACGGACCUACAAAAUUUGGAAGCUCUGCAUACCAUUAAAAGUUAAAGUGUUCUGCUGGCUCGUCCUCAAGAAGAGACCUCUUACUGUAGAUAAUUUAUUAAAAAGAGGAUGGAUAGACAACACGAAUUGUGUGCUGUGUGGGUCUGAUAUGGAAACAGUAGACCACAUUUUUUCUCAAUGUGUAUUCUUUAAAUUUCUUAUGGUGAUGUCAUUGGAGGAUGUCCAAGCAGGAGAUUUGGCCGAAGAUGUGCAUAUGGUUUGGGACAGACAGAGCGGAAGGGUGGGGUCUCAGUCCAUGAACGAUGGUUUAUCUGGACUAAUUGCCUGCUGGUGGCUUAUUUGGGAGACUAGGAAUGGUGUGAUCUUUAGGAGGAAUCAGACUGAUCCAAUCCGUGGUUGCUAUAAGGUUAAACAGCUGACGUCCCUGCAGGGGAAACUUCGCCCUAUGGAGAGACACUGAUUUUUUUAUUUUUAUUUUUAUUUUUAUUUUUAUUUUUAUUAUUUUUUUUCUUCUUUGUCCGGCUUUUCAUCUCUUUAGAGGCAUUGUUGCCUCACCCAUAUAGCUAAGUUCAUAUCCUGAAUGAAUGAAGCGGGUAGCGUGCUACCUUUUUAUCAAAAAAAAAAAAAAAACUUUUGUCAUCAAUUUUAUAGAUUUGUUAUUGUAAAUAUUACAUGCGUAUUUUUUUUUAUCAUACUUUCGCUCCUUCUAAGUAAUAUUCUACUCUCAAAAAUUUUAUCUGCAUAGUGUGAAAAACUUCUAUGUGGUGGGCACUCUAGAAUCAGUAAUUGGUCUUAAAUAUUUAGGCUAAUAGUUCUAGCCAAAAGAGUGCAGCAGAAUAUUAUACGGAGCAAAAUAUCAUCCACAUCGGAUAAUGGGAUGGCGGAUCCUAAAAAAAAAAAUUAGAGGAUAAAAACUAUAAUAACCCAAUAGAAAUAGAAAGUUGUAAUGGGAUAUGGUUAGAUUUUAAUGACAUGUACUUAAAGCUCACGAGAUUAUGAAGAUAAAUAGAAAAAUCAGAGACAUCUUGUGACAUUAUCAGAAAACUUAGAAACCUACCAAAAUAUCAUCCUACUCACGAGACAUGAAGAUAACUAGAAAAAUCAAGAACAUGUUGUGACAUUAUCCGAAAACUAAGAAACUAAUCUAAAAAUCACCCUAUCGUGUCCAGCGUAGAUGCAUUCUAUCGACGACGAGCAGGAAAAUAGCUCGCGAUGCAAACAAAUUUUAUAUAUAAACAAAGGCAUAGUUGAUUAUUUUACAGCAUAUAAUUUAAGUACUGUGUAGAUUUGUUUAGGGGAUCAGCAAAAGAAACAAAAUAUUUCCCAAUCCAAAGAUUGACAAAUUUGGCUUCGUCUCUGUUGCUUUUGUCCGAGCUAUGUUAUAUUUAUCCGAACUGGGAAUCAUCAGCCUUUCUCCAAACUAGUCGCUUUUGUCUUUCUAAGGUCUUUUAUUAGACAUUUCUACACAGACACACAGAUAUAACUAUAUAAGGGUUAGUUUUAGUUAGGCUAAAUUACACUUUUGAUCCUGAAACUAUAAAGCGCGUUACAUUUUAGUUUCCAAUCUUCAUUGGUUAUAAUUUCUUACUCGCAUUUUUCUGAAAUAUUAUAAUUUGUCAGAUCAUUGGUACUAACCAUUAAUUUCAAAAAUUUGACCCGUAAGAAAUACGCAACUAAAUUCACUUAAAACGUAUAGAUACAGUGCUUCCGUAUCUCGAUUAUGACUCGGUACAACCAGCCUCGCGCCACUUUAGAUAUAAAUCGAUCCAGCCCAGUCUCCCGCCAUUCCGAAUAUGAUUCGGAACAACCUGACCUUCCGUCACAAGACAAGAUGUUGAUCCCUUUAAACCGACACAAUUAAAUCCCACAACACAAUUUAGUUCAUUAAAUAUUAAAAUAUCUCUAAUGUGAAAGCAACAACAAUAGUAAAAUAAGAUAUCACAUUAUUCGUAUGUUAUCCAUAUAUUAAUAUUUAGUUAGUUAAACUGGAUUGUAGAAUUUAACUAAAACAGUAUAAAAAGUUGAAGAUAGAAAUUAUAACAAACUAAAAUUUGGAGAACAAAGCGGCAUGCCUCAUCAUUUGAGGACCAAAGUGUAAUUUAGCCUUUCAAUUUCAAUGCUGUGCCAAUUGGUUUUUUAUUUAAAUUAUUUUUUUUAAUAUAAUUGUUCUUGAAAUUUGGCCUUUUUGCAUAAGAAAUCCACUUAUUUUGGGCUUUUGCAAAACCGGGUCACCUUUUUUCGUUUUUGCAGAUUCGGUCCAUUUUUUCAGCAAACUGACCAAAAUACCCUUAUUACUUUUUCUCUUUCCUCUUUCUCUCUCCUCUUCGUUUCUGUCGUUCUUUUUUUUUUUUCUCGCCGAAAAAAAAAAGGCGUACCGUCGCCUUCUUCUUCACCAUCGCCUCCAUCCUCACCGUCCUUCUUCACCGUCGCCCCCCUCCUCACCCUCCUCUCCACCGCUCGCAACCCCCUCCUCCUCUCCUCCGCCGCCACGGACCCCCAGCCCGAUCCCGUCGCCGCGGCGGCAGCGGCCGCGGCGAACGGGCCCCGGCGGCUGGGAUGCGAGAAGAAGACAAACGGCAAAGAAAAAAAGAAGAAGGCGGAGCAACCGAACAGUAGCGCAGUGAGGGGGAGCGGAAGCGCAACUGCCGCGUCGGUGCCGGGCUUUCUGGGUUUGUGGCACGCCGGAGCGGUCCGCGCGUGUUUUCUCCGAGUCUGGCGCUGCCCUUUCCUCCCGCCGCCGCGCAGAGAAGCCGCCGACCAGCGCCUCUGCUCUCCCACGACGACGUCGAGACGCUGCGUCGCCGCGGACCCCAGCCCGAUCCCGUCGCCGCGCAGGAGCGGCCGCUGCCAAACGGGGUCGGACUGAUUUUUUAUUUUAAAACUGCAUAUUUUUAACAGAUAUAUACCGUUCUCCUUUUGUUGCACUGUUUCUUCCUCUUGUUGCACUGUUUCUUCUCUUUUAAAGAGAGAAACGAGUGCACAAGAGGAUGAAACAGGUGCCAACAAGAGGAGAAGCGCGGUUAGUAAAUAUCUCUUAAAUGGCGUGCAGAUUUAGAUAAAUGGAGUCGCAGUUUUUUCUUGUUUGCCCACCAUUUUUUCUCUUGUCACACUGUUUUUAUUUUAAACUACCUCUUUAACGAGAUAUUUAUACUGCUUGCUCCUCUUGUUGCCACUUGUUUCUCUCUUAUCGCACUGUUUCCUCCUCUUUAAAGAGGGAGAGAAACAGUGCCCCAACAAAGAGGACAAAAAACCAGUGCAACAAAGAGGAGAAGUAAUACUAAAUAUCUCAUAAAUACGUGCAGUUAAAGUAAAAUGGUGCAGUUUUUUUUCUGGGUGUUGCACUAUUUCUCUGCUUAUUAACACUAUUUUAUUUUUAAACUACCACUUUAACAGAUAUUUAUUACCUUCUCUCUUGUUGCACUGGUUCUUCCUCUUGUUGUACUAGUUUUUCUCUUUCUAAAGAUAAAAAAUAGUGCCAGAGAGAAACGAGUGCCCAACAAGAGGCAGAAGAGCGUAUAAUAUACUCUUAAUGAGUGCAGUUUAAGAUAAAAAAUUAAGUGUGACAAGAAGAGAAACGGUGCCAACAAGACGGAGAGACAACAGUGCACUUUCAUUUAAAUGUAGAUGUAAUCUUUUACUUAGUGAGGUGCGUGUUAUACUCCUUGGAAACAAGGUGCCACAUAAGGAAGAAGAAACAGUGUAAAUAUCUUUCAAAUAGUGUAAUUUUAUUUACAAAGUGUAUUUUUAUUUAAAAAAACAAAAGAUUUUAAAGAAAAAAAAAUAAGACUGAAAAAAGAAAAAAAAAAAAAAAAAAACAAAAAUAAGAAAGGCAAGAAGUAAAAAAAAAAAAAAAAAACCUGCGUUUACCAUUCUUAAGUGAGUGCCGCCAACUUGUAAUUUUUUUGCUACAGUUAACCGAUACAAUUUAUCUUUCAUCCUUUUUUUUAUAUAAUUUUAUCUUUUUUUUUUUUUUUUUUUUUGUCACCCUUUCUUCAAUUUUAGCCACGCCUGCGCGAUGACGACGCCGCUAAGACCCCCACUUCGAGGCGCAGCGGCCGCAGUGAUCUCCACGGGUUGUGCGUGCCGUCGGUGUCGAGCGAAGAGGCAUCGUCGGUCGGAGGGCAGCAAGAAAGGAGAGCUACCGGGAGGCGCAUGGGAAAGAGCAGAGGAGAGUGGCGUCUGUCGUCUGGAAGAGCUGCUGGAGAGAGCACGUCUGGUCAGCGAGAAGAAGAGAAAAAGAAAAGAAAAAUGCAAAAAAAAAAAAAGUCACAGCCCGGCCUUAGGGGGAUUGGAGGCGAGGAAGGUGGGGGCGCCGCCGCGCCGGCGGCGACACCGCUCUGUCUUCGCCGCUCUCUGGGAAGAGAAAGAAAAAAAAGAACGAGAGAAAAAAGAGAAAAGAAAAAGCUAUAAGGGCACCUCCGCUCCGUCUUCGCCGCUCUCUGGGAAGAAAAAGAAAAAAGAACGAGAGAAAAAAAGAGGAGAGAGAAAGAGGAAAGAGAAAAAGGUAUAAGGGUAUUUUGGUCAGUUUGCUGAAAAAGCGGACCGAAUCUGCAAAAGCCAAAAAGAUGGCCCGAUUUUGCAAAAGCCCAAAAUAAGUGGAUUUUUUAUGCAAAUUGGCCUUAAUAUUUUGAUAUCUAUAAUGUAUUUAACAUUUUAAUCAACUUUUUUUUUUCUUUGUAUUAAAAGUUUGUUUACUCGGCAUAUAAGAUUAUACCAUAUAUUUGCCACGUCAACACCGAACCUAAUUGCAAAAACAAAUGAGAAUAUAUAAUAAUAAUAAACAUUAAGAAUCUAAUUACAAAAAAUAGAAAAGUUCAAGGACCAAAUGAAAAAAAAAAGAAAGAAAAAAAGGUAAAGUUCGAGAGCAAUGGCGUAAUUAAUCUCGGAGAUUAUGAAAAGUAAUAUCUUUCAUAAAAUAUUGGGAAAACUUCAAAAAAACCCCCUGUGGUUUCGUAGUUUCUCACUUUGCCGCCCUGUGUUUUAAAAUGUAUCAAUUUGCCCCCCUGUGGUUUUAUUUUUCUCUUUUUCUUAUCAAUUUCAUUAUUUUUUUUCCUUAAUCAGUAAUAAAGUUAAAAUUAAAGGGUACUAAAGUGAAUAUUUGAUAAAUCUAGAUAAGUAUCUGAAGUUUUUUGUAUAUAUUUAAUGAAAUAUUAACGAAAAAGAUACCGAAAAGAUAAAAACGAAACCACAGGGGGACAAAUAGAUAUACUUUAAACCACAGGGGGGCAAAGUGAAAAACUACGAAACCACAUGGGGGUUUUUGAAGUUUUCCCUAAAAUAUUUUGUAUGGCGAAGAAAACGACCUAUGUGGCUAAGUCCAACCAUAAAGUACAGGGUCACUGUUACCUAAACCAUUUUUGUCUAUUCAUAUUUAAUCACCUGGACCAUGUUGGCACCACAUAAUAGAGGACAUUUGUUUUCGGCUUAAAAAGGCGUAUGCGCUACUUUGUAUUCUCAAACUUUAAUUUAUUAUAAUUUUAAACUAAAUUAUAAAUAAAUAUUUAUUGUUUUAUUUUUUCUCUCUAACUUUAAAAAUUUUUAUUUUACCUCCUCAAUAUUUCAAAUUAUUGCAUUUAGCCCUCUCCGUCUGGAUUCUAUUACUAUUCCGUCUAUUUCUUAUAAUUUAUACUGAAAAUAUCUUCCAAAUGAUAGAAAUAUAUUAUUUUUUUUUUUCUUAUAGGAGUAAGGAUAAUUUGAUCAUUUUGUCUUCUCUAUAAAAUCCAUAUAUCUCCGAAAAUAUUUCUGAAAUUUUAAGGAGACAAAAUAUAAAUUUUUAAAAGUCAUAAAAUAAAAGUGAAAAAAAAUAUAUUUACAAUGAGAUUCUUUGUAUUUAAACCUAAUUUUUAACUCAAACCUUAUUGUUACAAUCAAAUUGCCAUGUUACCGAGGUGGAAGUGAUUAGUAAUUGUUUGCGCCAUCACAUCACUUAACACUGGUAACACAUCAAUACUUAACCAAUUGAAUUAAAUUGUAGAACAUCAUUGCAACAAUAUAAAAUAAAAAGUUCAAGCCAUAAAAAAUAAUAACAAAACUGAAUUAGAAGACGACGAUGUCCCGCACUUCAUAAAUAGUUUUUUUUUUUUUUUAGAGAAAUAAAGUGAUUUUUUUUUAUCAUGUUCUUCGUUUAGUUUAUUAAUUUUUUUUUUUUUUUUUGAGAGAGAAAGGUAGCAUACUACUCGUUUCGUUUAUUUCAUUUAGAAAUAAACUUAGCUGAAAAUGUGAAUCAACUAGGAUUCGAAUAUGAAUCUCGGAUACCAACCACCAAACCUUUUUGCUACUUGUGCUAGGGACAGUCGAUCGCGCUUUAUAAAUAGUUAAAAGGAUUUUGACAGUGAUCCCACACAUCAUGCUUCUUCACAUGAAAUUAAGAGAUAAUGCUUCACAACAUUCAAAUAUCAUAUUGACAAAGCUUGGAGUGAAAAAUAACAUCUAACAAUGACCAUGGGCAACUAUUUUACAUGUACAAACUCUCUGCAUACUUUCUAGUCACAACAAUAACACCUGCUUCAUUAUGUCAAGUUCUCCUGAAGUUUGCAAACUGAAACCGAUGAAAUGAUUGUCGAAAUCUGAAAAUGCACCUCUAACAAUCAAUUUUUAGCCCUAACGCAUAAAAACACCUUCACCAUUCGCAAAAUUUAGCUUCCUACGAAUAUAUUUGGAAGAAAAGGCAUCUCUCGAGUCUAUUUAGACAUUCGACCUUCAAGAAAUGCACAAAUUGGAUUCAAUUUGUAUAUAUGAGAAGGAAUUCAUCAAGGCAUGUAGAAUUAUUUCCACACACUUAAAAAGUAAAACUUUCACAAGGAAUCAAGCAACUAAGAGAUUCACAUUCUCAUUAUGGAAAGAUGAGUUACAUUCUCUUCAUCCCGACAAAGAAAAUGCUAGGGCUUAUAGUUCCCGGUAAAGAACUUUUAGCUAAAUCAUCCUUCAACCAACCCAAAAAAAAAAAAAAAAAAUAACAAGUUUCAGUGACUGGAAUCACCUUGCUAGAUAUUGACACCAAAUAAUGGUUUCCUUGAGCCACUUAAAACUGUUAAGAUAGCUAAAAUUAACAACUAGCCAGGUAAAGAAAUACAAAAAGUAAAGAUAAGUCAAAAGUUAAAAGAAGAUUUCAUACUAAUGCCCAGGAAAUUAUAUGCACAUCAUAUGAUUAUCCAACAUAUAUCAGUAAUAAGAAAAGAAAAUUAUUAAACCAGAGAAAGGACUCAGAAUAAACCUGUAGGAGCGACAAGGCAUCAUCUCAACAGUAAGUGUUCUCAAUAUUAGAGAAAGAAAUUUGAUGAAAUUUUGAUAUUCUUGUAAAAAAUCAUAGAAAUAAGAUACUACGUGAAAAUUGUAUGCAUCUACUAAUAUUUGCAAAGAAUGAUUUCAAGAAAGUUAAAUCUUCUGUAUUUCAUCACUGGACAUCGACAUCCUUUACGAAACCUGCAUGAUUACAAAGUGUGUCACAUUAGCUUCUAUUUGUAAUAAGCUAGAACUGCUCACAAUAACUAUAUAUGUUAUAUCUUCUAAACACAUGUAUGUGCAGAAUGCAUACACUUGAGCUGAAUAUUCAUAACAGACACGGUAGAGAAACAAGACUCAUUAAAGAGAAGAUUUUGUCACUUUGAAAUUAAAUAAGAGAUAACAACUGAUAAUAAGACCCACUAUAGCUACUAUGAGACAACAUUUUUCAAUCCAUCGGAUGGCCAAGUCUACUGCUAAAUUCCUACAACAUUGUCUAUUGCACAUAUCUAGGAAAGCACAAGCCAAAAAUCAAUUCAAAUGUUACAGUUGAAUGAAUGUUUAAUAUAAAUUGAAGGACUCCAACAUCCUCACCAAGCGUGAUGUGUAAAUAGUUGCCGAAGCUUCGAGCACGUUUUUCCUGCUGGAUAUCAAAAUGUGCAGCCCUAAAGGAACUCAAUGUUGAACAACCUAGUUGCAGAGGCAAAAGCCCACAAAACCACCACACACUGUGACUUUUAUCUUUGUGGCAGAGCUCCAAAAUCCAAAAAUGGUUGCUCCAAAAUGCUCAGUGAAGAUCUUUUCAUGCUUUAGAUCCUCAAAACUCCCUUUAUCUAGUAACCAUAAAAUUCAAAUUUAAGCUUUAGCUCUUCUAAACUCGAACCAAAUCUCAUAAUGGUUAAAUAGCAAACUAUCAUGUGUUUGCUUCCCCACAUACUCCAGCCCCAAUUCUGCAAGUCUCCUUGUACAUUCCUCCCCACCCAAUCUCGAACAGAACUUAAUGUUAUGUGACACAAAGAUCCGACCUUUCUGCGGUUUAAGCUUCCCUGCCAACCUCUCAAGCCCGACCCAAACAAGCUUAUCAGGCAUAUGAAGGAAUACAGCGCUCGCAUAGAUCAGAUCAUACGAAAUUCCACUCCCAAAUCUACUAAAAUCCAUAUCCUCGCCUUUUACAAUAAGCGGCCUUUUGUAAAGAAGACCCUGAGAAGGCAACUCAUAUCGAAGUGCGGCCAUGAGGGAGAGCUCAUCGCGCUCGAGGCAAUGGAAUCGGCCAGGAUUAAGGUACCGAAUAAAGUGUUGGCCUACACGAAGCGUUCCACAACCGAUCUCAAGAACAUAAUCAGCAGAAGCGAGGUUGGACUUAGUUGCUAGGAACUCAAACACGUCUCGGCCACCAGCCCACGGCUCGCCGUAGUUACUAUGGUGCUCCUCCACGAGUAGCUCGCCAGGACAUGGCAGAGCAGUGUGGUUUGCAGCAUCAACAUCUUCAUAGUGGGAAAUGCCUUUGAAUCUGAAGGAACCAGAAUCAAAAUCAAAUUCUUUUUGGGCAAUUCAAUAAUUAAAGCAAAUCUAUAGUUUAGGAUCAAAAGUGAUUGGAUUGAAUCUCAAUGUUCAUUUUCCUAUUCCACCCUUAAUAAUGUUUACACUCCUCUGAUCUAGUAACCGAAAAUCUAGACAUAUUGGACCUCAGAUUGUCCGAUUUGUUCAUACUUAUAAUAAAAAUCCAUCCAAAUCACAGGAAAUUAUCACAAUUUAUGAGCAAACAAACUUAGCAAUUCAAAUGACUGCAAUUAGAAAGGGCUUUUCUGAUCUACGAGUUUCAAAAGUUUGAAACUCGGAUCAUACCGAAUCGGAACUCGAUGCGUCUGAUUUCUUACAUUCAUCAUCAAAAUCGAUCCAAAUGACAGUAAAUUAUCAUAAAUGGACUGAUGAGCACAGAGAAUCACAAAUCCAUCCAAUUGAUCGGUACGUGAGAGGUGAAAGAGCGCAGGACAGAGGGAUUCGGGGAUCGAUCACCUCCGAAGAUCGUCGAGUUGCUCGGCGCGGGUGCGGGGGUUGAUGCCCUUGCGGAGGGCGCGCCACGCGGCCGGGGAGGAGGGGGGGUCGCCGAGGGAGUUGAGGGCGAGCUGGGAUCGGAGCCACGAGAGGUCGUCGGAGGUGGGGGAGACGGGGGUAGGGUUGAGGGAGGUGGUGGUGGUGGUGGUGACGGUGGUGGUGGUGGAGGAGUGGGCGCAGGAGCACGGUGGGGCGGGGGCGAGGGAGGUGAGGAGGAGGAAGAGGACGAAGGCGGCGGCGGCGGCGGAGAUGAGGAGGAAAGCGGGGACGGUGACCGAUUUGGUGGAGGAGGAGGAGAUCGCCAUGGGGGAAGGGGGGAGGAGAGGGUUAGGGUUUGGAUCGCGGGGACGACGACGACGACGGAGAAGGUUAAGUGGUGGAACUAAAAAAUAGUUUUGCAUUUUCUCAUUUUAGCACCCCGGUAAUUUAAAGUGUAUCAAUUUAGUACCUGUAAUUUUNGCACCUGGUAAUUUAAAGUGUAUCAAUUUAGUACCUGUAUUUUUUUUUUUCCACAGUUUUUUCGUUAAUAUUUUGUUAAAUUAUACAUAAAAAAUUUUUUAAAUAUCCUAUCUAAAUUUAUCGAAUAUUCACUUUAGUACCUUUUAGUUUUAACUUUGUUAAUAUUUUAACAAAAAAAUUAGUCGAGGGGAUAAUAAAAAGAAAAAAAAUAAAACCACGAGAUACUAAAUUAAUACAUUUUAAAUCACAUGAUAUUAAAAUAAAAAAGUGCAAAACUAUAGGAGUGAUAUUUAAAAUUUUUUCAAAAUUUUAUGAAGGUGGAACAAGAUUGUUUGGGAUUGUUCGAAUAAGCGCCACAUGGCGAGCGGCGUCCAUCCAAUUGUACAAUAAAAAUAUUUUAUUUACAAAGUUAAAUUAAAAUAAAAUAAUAAACUAUUUUACUAAAUUAAAAUUAUUUUUUUUUUUAUUUUAAUUAUUUCUAAAAAGAACUUAGCUUACAACUUCUAACUUCUAGCUAUAGAACUCUAUUAAUUAGUUUUGUUCAUAUGAAAUUCAUAGCUAAGAUUCGAUAUUUUUCGGAAUUUCUAUACAAUAUUUCUUACGCUAUUUUUCUCUUAUGCCAGCUCUAGAGUCAAUAAUUUUCUAUGAGGAACUACUGAACUCAAUCACUUACUGCCGUUACUCAAACGAAUUCGUCCAUACUAUUGAUACAGUCAAUUGGAACUCAAGCUCAUAUUGAUGUUUUGUUCGAAAAAAAUAAAAUAAAAAAAUAUUUUUGGGCUGUUGGAAUCAGCGUGGCUUGUCAUGCGACGUGAAUAAUUUCAAAAAUUAUUCUUCUUUUUAAAAAUUAUGUCCAUAAAAUUUUUAUCUGAGGAUGUUUUGGUGGGAAAGCGGAAACGGGGAUGGGUCCAAUCAUUUGCAUCUGAAUCGAUCUGAGAGAGAGAGAGAGAGAGAGAGAGGAGCCAAAAUGUAUGGAGACCUCUCAACUAUAGAUGAUUUUGAACUACCACUUGCAACUUUGUUUUUAGAAAAAAAAAAAAAAUCACAAGGAAUUUACUCCAAUUAUAGAUCAUUUUAGAUUGACUAUUUCAUAUUUUAAAUUUUUAAUUUUACUGUCCAACCUUUUAAUUUGUUUUAUUUGAGUCGGCCAAUAAUACUUAGACUUCAUAAUUUGAUUGCAUCAUUUAUUUUUAUAAAUUUAUUAGUGCAUUUUAUAUAAUUCUUUAACUAUAAAUUUAUUAAAAUAAAAAAAUUAGUUUAAAUUUUAAAGUCAAAGUGUCAUUCACUCAUUCAGAUCAAAUAAAUUGAAAGAUUAGAUAAUAAAAUCAAAUGUUUAAAAUGUUGAAUAGUAAAUUUAAAAUAGUUAAUAGUUCAUAUAAUUUUUAUAUAUUUUUAUUUUUAAAAAAAUACUAUCUGUAGGACUGUAAAGGUGGGUAAAAAUAUAGAAAAACCUGCCAAUUAACCCUUCAAGGUCCCUUUGAUUAGGUCCAAAAAAAAGUGACAAAAAAAGCCCAACAUGGGCCCAUGCACAAAAUUAUGAGAUUUAAUUAUAUACANNNNNNNNNNNNNNNNNNNNNNNNNCUUGGCUUCUCCAGCAGCGACAAGGGAAUUCUCCCUCCGCGUGCGCACGGAGCGCGGCCCCCUCGGCAUGAGGCUUCGGACGAGGUCGAGAGCCGCGUCCGGGGAGUGGGGAGCGGGGCGAGGGAGCCCGGCGCGGUCGCACCAGCUGAGGAUCGCGUUCCUGAUAGCGAUGUUGGGGAUGAGGAGGGGAGAGGCGGAGGCGGAGGUGGAGAGGUUGAGGGCGUGGGAGAGGCACGGAGGGGUGAAGGCGAGGUCGAGGCACGUGUGGACGCAGCUCCGCUCGCGAUCGGCCGUCGCAGGCACAGCGUCACCACCGACGAGUCGCGCACUCCGACCUUGGCGCCCGACCUGCGCCGCCUCUGCUCCUUCGGCGGCCGGAGGCCCCCACUGUUGGCCACCUUCCGUGCGGAUCGGGAGAGGGAGGCGGACGCGGAGUCCCUGGGGAAAAGAAAGAAAAAAAGAACGAGAAAAAAAAAAAAAGGAGAGAGAAAAAUAUAUAAGGGUAUUUUGGUCAGUUUGCUAAAAAAGUGGACCGAAUCUGCAAAAACGAAAAAGGUGGUCCGUUUUUGCAAAAGCCCAAAAUAAGUGGAUUUUUUAUGCAAAAAGGCCUUUAAAUUGAUAUAUUUGAUUUCAAUUGUUGCUACUGAAAUUGUACAAUGAGGCUCAAGCUAUGAUAACUGAAAUUACACAUAUAUGUGAGGCAGUGAAUUGUAACUUUGUAAGGAUAUAAUUUUAGAACAAUGCUACAGAUAUAUUUCAAAGUGAAGUGUAUAUCUUACACCCAUUCCAUCCUAAGAUCAUUAAUAUUUUACCUGUCAUAGCAUUUUUUUUUUUACUAAUAAUUACUUAAAUUUUUAUCAAUUUUAAAAUAAGGGGUGUAAGAUCUUAUGCCACGUUUUUUGAAUGUAUAAAAAAAUAUUUGUCAUAAUUUUAUUGGUUAGAAACAUGAAUAAUGUGGUGUUACCGUAAUAUUUUGAAAACGUAACUCUCAACUUAGACGUUACGGACACUGAUAUGAGAUACGGGGCACGACACGAUUCGAAUACGGCAACUUGACAGCUUUCAAAAAAUUCAGACAGGAAUGCAGUAUGGACACCAUUAAUAAAAUAUAAUAUUAUUAAUAUAAUCAUAUAUAUAUUUAUUAAAUAUAAAAUAUUAAUUUUGGUAAAAUAUUGUUAUAUUUCUCCUACGAAUAAAGUUAGUAAAAUUUUUAUUGAUAAUUUAGACAUUUUAAGAAAAAAAAAUUUGUACCAUACAUAAUUUAUUUAUAUACGACACGAACACACGAGGCUUAUAGAAGUGUCUGUGAUACAUAGCUCUCAACUCACUUAAGGCAUAUUUGUUUGUGUGAAAGUGGGGUAGAAGUGAGAGGGAAGUGAUUUUUAGUUAAAACUGACUACUAUUGUUUGGUUCGCUGUAAAAAAAUUACAAUCAAAACUCCACUUAACCUGAAACAACAUAAUUGACUUCGGCCCAUUGUGAGCCGAAGUCAACUACGAUGAAGGAAGAUGAAAAAAUAAAAUAAAAUAAUAUACUAGGUAAAGAUAGUUAUAUUUUAAUAUAUUUAAGUAUGAGAUUUAAUUGUAUGCAAAUUUAAAUAUGAUUUUUAAAUUGAUAUAUUUGAUUUCAAUUGUUGCUACUGAAAUUGUACAAUAAAGCUCAAGCUAUGAUAACUGAAAUUACACAUAUAUGUGAGGCAGUGAAUUGUAACUUGUAAGGAUAUAAUUUUAGAACAAUGCUACAGAUAUAUUUCAAAGUGAAAUGUAAAUUUUACAUCCAUUCCUUCCUAAGAUCAUUAAUAUUUUACUUGUCAUAGCAUUUUUUUUUACUAAUAAUUACUUAAAUUUUUAUCAAUUUUAAAAUAAAGGGUGUAAGAUCUUAUGCCCCGUUUUUUGAAUGUAUAAAAAAAUAUUUGUCAUAAUUUUAUUGGUUAGAGACAAGAAUAAUGUGGUGUUACCGUAAUAUUUUGAAAAGGUAACUCUCAACUUAGACGUCACGGACACUGACAUGAGGUACGGGGUACGAUACGACUCGAAUACGGCAACUUGACAGCUUUCAAAAAAUUCAGACAGGAAUGCAGUAUGGACACCAUUAAUAAAAUAUAAUAUUAUUAAUAUAAUCAUAUAUAUAUUUAUUAAAUAUAAAAUAUUAAUUUUGGUAAAAUAUUGUUAUAUUUCUCCUACGAAUAAAGUUAGUAAAAUUUUUAUUGAUAAUUUAGACAUUUUAAGAAAAAAAAAUUUGUACCAUACAUAAUUUAUUUAUAUACGACACGAACACACGAGGCUUAUAGAAGUGUCUGUGAUACAUAGCUCUCAACUCACUUAAGGCAUAUUUGUUUGUGUGAAAGUGGGGUAGAAGUGAGAGGGAAGUGAUUUUUAGUUAAAACUGACUACUAUUGUUUGGUUCGCUGUAAAAAAAUUACAAUCAAAACUCCACUUAACCUGAAACAACAUAAUUGACUUCGGCCCAUUGUGAGCCGAAGUCAACUACGAUGAAGGAAGAUGAAAAAAUAAAAUAAAAUAAUAUACUAGGUAAAGAUAGUUAUAUUUUAAUAUAUUUAAGUAUGAGAUUUAAUUGUAUGCAAAUUUAAAUAUGAUUUUUAAAUUGAUAUAUUUGAUUUCAAUUGUUGCUACUGAAAUUGUACAAUAAAGCUCAAGCUAUGAUAACUGAAAUUACACAUAUAUGUGAGGCAGUGAAUUGUAACUUGUAAGGAUAUAAUUUUAGAACAAUGCUACAGAUAUAUUUCAAAGUGAAAUGUAAAUUUUACAUCCAUUCCUUCCUAAGAUCAUUAAUAUUUUACUUGUCAUAGCAUUUUUUUUUACUAAUAAUUACUUAAAUUUUUAUCAAUUUUAAAAUAAAGGGUGUAAGAUCUUAUGCCCCGUUUUUUGAAUGUAUAAAAAAAUAUUUGUCAUAAUUUUAUUGGUUAGAGACAAGAAUAAUGUGGUGUUACCGUAAUAUUUUGAAAAGGUAACUCUCAACUUAGACGUCACGGACACUGACAUGAGGUACGGGGUACGAUACGACUCGAAUACGGCAACUUGACAGCUUUCAAAAAAUUCAGACAGGAAUGCAGUAUGGACACCAUUAAUAAAAUAUAAUAUUAUUAAUAUAAUCAUAUAUAUAUUUAUUAAAUAUAAAAUAUUAAUUUUGGUAAAAUAUUGUUAUAUUUCUCAUACGAAUAAAGUUAGUAAAAUUUUUAUUGAUAAUUUAUAUAUUUUAAGAAAAAAAAUUCUGUACCAUACAUAAUUUAUUUAUGUACGACACGAACACACGAUGCUUAUAGAAGUGUCUGUGAUACAUAGCUCUCAACUCACUUAAGGCAUGUUUGUUUGUGUGGAAGUGGGGUGGAAGUGAGAGGGAAGUGAUUUUUAGUUAAAACUGACUACUUCUAUUGUUUGGUUCGCCGUCAAAAAAUUACAAUCAAAACUUCAGUUAACCUGAAACAGCAUAAUUGACUUCGGCCCAUUGUAGGCCGAAGUCAAUUACGAUGAAGGAAGAUGAAAAAAUAAAAUAAAAUAAUAUACUAGGUAAAGAUAGUUAUAUUUUAAUAUAUUUAAUUAUGCUACUAGUUAUUCUUUUAUUCAUUUGGCAUAUUUAAAAUAUGAUAAAAUUUGAUUAGUUAAGUUUUAAUAUUUUUUUUAUUUAGUUUGUACAAAUAAAAUAUAAUAAAAAUUGAUUAAUUAAGUAUUAAUAUUUUUUAUUUUAUAACUUUAUUGUUGUAUAACUCGAAUUUAUGUAUAAAAAAAUAAUUUAGUUGCUUUAAAUUAAAUUUAAUUAUAUAAGAAUAUAAUUAUANACGCGGGCGGGGCUGGGCCAAGUGUUUAAAUUGAACACGGUGAACCAUUCACCGUGUUCAAUACAAAAUUUUUGUAUUGGACACGGUGAAUGGUUCACCGUGUCCAAUACAAAAUGGCUAAGUGGGAUAUAUUUGUAUUGGACACGGUGAAUCAUUCACCGUGUCCAAUACAAAUAAUUGGACACGGUGAAUGGUUCACCGUGUCCAAUACAAACACCCACAACUUAGCCAUUUUUGGCUAAGUCGGAUGUAUUUGUAUUGGACACGGUGAACCAUUCACCGUGUCCAAUACAAAAAUCUUGUAUUGAACACGGUGAAUGGUUCACCGUGUUCAACUUAUACAAUUGGCCCAGUUCCGCCCGCGUGGCGCUGACGUGGCGCUGACGGGGCGGGGCCAGGGCCAUUUUUGCAAAUAAUUUUUACACAGGGCUAUUUUCGAAAAUAAAAUUUUUUAUGGGGCUAUUUGCAAAAAAAGUCCAUAGCAAAAUUAAUAAAACUUUACUUACAUAACUACAAAACAGACAGCGGAGAAAAAAUAAUUUUCACCUAAACUCCACUUCAACCUAAACUCCCCUUCAACCCAAUAUCAAACCCAAUAUCAAAUUUCAGUGAAACAAUGGGGCAGAGUUUCACGUGCGUCGCACGUGCUGAGCGCAAACAACUGGGGUCGGAAACCCUAAUCCCGCCGCUCUCGUCUCCUCCCCGCUAUAUAAUACUUUGGGCCGCCAUUGUUGUUGCUCUAGAACUCGCUAGGACGACGACGAUGAUUUCGCCCAAUUUUUUAUUUAUUUCUUUUUUUAGAAAAAAAAAACAACGAUGUUCUUGGAACAGUAAUCGAUCUCUUCUCUACUUCGCCUAUUUUUUUUUAUUAUCUUUUGUUUUUUAUUUUUUUUUGGCAAAUUUAUCCGGUGAUUAGUCGCGCAUAUACACACUGUUGUUUACAAGUUAUUCGAUCGAUUUAUACAUGCUAUUUAUGAUCUGAUUUUGGGCAUAUUAUCUUCUUCUUUCCUACCGACUGAGCCUGUGAUGAUGAAGCAUGACAUGAGCCACGAAGAUAAUUGUUGCGCAUCAGGUGUUCGUAUAGCCUGAGUCUUCGUCGGCGGAGAUUAAUGUGCCAAAAUGCUAAUCUGAGGCUCGGCUUUCGCACGCGCGCUUGAUUGUACUUAUUUUUUUUUUUUUCAAUAGGGAUUAUUUUAAUAGAUAGAUUCAUUAGUAGUGAUUAAUGGUAGUAAUGGUGGUAGGUAUUCUUGAAGAUCAUCACUCGGUGGUGGGAUUAUUCGACAUCCUAAAAUGGUUGCGUCUAUUUUGGGCAUCUUCAAAAGUUUUUGAUGAAGAUCAAAGACAAUUUGAGAGAACUCGCACUGAUACCAUGCAAAGAAAAAAUUUAUUAUUUACCAAAACUUUGCUCUUAUCUGCAAUUUUCAGAAUUAGGGCUUCUAUUUUUUAAUAGGAGAGGUUUUCGCCGUUUCUGGACCACAUCAUUUCUCGCGGUGGAUUAUUGAUGGAUCAAAUUACCAGCCUAAAAUAUUUGAACUUAUUAUUAUUAAAGUAUGGUUUAGACUGUGACAUUUUCGUUAGGUCCAAACUUAUACGUUAUCUCGCAUAUUUCGAUUAGCAUUCAGUUCUAAUAUCAAAUGUAAUAAUUCAAUUCGCUAGCAAAAAUAAUUUAUCGGAUCUAAAUCACUGUCGAAAAUACUUGAAUCCAGUUCUAAAUCAGGUUCAUAAUUUUCUCAGCGGUUAUAUAUUUUUAACAAAAGCAUAAAGAACUUAUCGGACCAUUUAAUUUGACUAUCCAACCUUCUAAAAAUUUUGAUUCUACUAUUUAAUUUUUUAAUUUGUUUGAUUUGAAUCAGUGAAAAGCAACUUGAAUCAGUAAUUUUGAAAGAUUGAAUAAUAAAAUCAAAAUUUUAAAAAGUUGGAUAGCUGAUUCAAAAUGAUGCAUAAUUCACGCAAGUUACAUAUGUUUUUUAAAAUAAACAACAGAGACAAUCCAAAUCCAAAUCCAAAUACUAGUGAAUUUGAUGUUUCACAACCAAUUUCUGAUCACAUAGCUUAAAUUAAACAUUUUGAUAAAAAAAAAAACCACUCCUGAUACUUGAGUAGCAACAUGUCAACGAAAAACAAAAGCAUCUGACUAGCAGAAUGAAACAAGAUAAUCAAAUCCAGGAAAGAGAAAUUAAAGCUUCAAAUUGCAAUCCUAGGAAUAGAUGAAGGAAUUGAAAAAGAGGUUUGAGUAUUCCCCUCCAACAUCCUGAAUGUCAAAACAGAACAAAAGCUUCUCAGAACACGCGAUACGGCUUGCCCAUAGUGCUCUUCAGGUACAAGCAUCUCACCUGCAUUAUAAAAGGCAAAGUUAAAGAGCUUAUACAUGUCCACUGAAGAACUUGCUCACACGGCACAACACAGUUCACACGGCUCAAAGCACGGUGGUUCGCAGAUUUGAUUUAAGUUAUUCAAAACACCAUGUUUUAAUCAACCAUACCCUUGGUCUGCGUAAAAUACUUUUUUGUUCAUUCAUGGCAUUAGUAGAAAAUUUGCGACAUAUUGACAAAAUCUAUGGGCACAAAUCACGUGUAGCACAUUAUGACAAAGGGAUGGCAAAAGCACAUGAGAUUAUUUGGGCAUAUUGCUAAAUUUUUGUUUCCUGACCUAUCAGAAUGAAAUAUAUGUGGGAAAAAUAGGCAAAAAUGAACAUGAUAGCACACCCGUGUGGCAAAGAAUUUUACUGAAUAACGAGAUACAUAAGGAUGAAGAUCAACUAUAAAUGGUUUGGACAUAUGUAUUGUUUAAGCUAAUUGGCAACAUCGCUGACCCAAUUAUCAAACUACACAAUGAGAUAGCAGAAAAGAAUGGUUUUUAGGCUCUAUAAUUCAGAAACCUGGAAGUGCUAAUAUUGGAGUGAACCUCGAGUUUUAUGUCAGAUUAGUAAUUCACUCUGCUAGCUCCUUUUGUUUUCUUUUGCCCCAUAAACAACUUUUAAUUUGAGUAAUCAACUUCCCAAAAAUGUAACGACGUAAAAUAUGUUUCAAUAAUCCUAAUUUAAGCUAACAUCAGCAGGUAGAGAAACUAGCAGCAAUUACAAGGAACUAUGGAAAAAAACGAAGCUCAACUUACGUUUUGCCAAUUCUUUUUCAACAGAGAGACCAGAAAGUUGACACUGAGUUGCACAUUUUGCUGAAUCUGUUUCUCCUCCAUUCCGCAAUUCCCAACAGCAACUCCCAUGCAAAGAACCUUCUUCAGUUGAAACUUCACCGUUGCUUUGGUCUCAUUAACUUUGGCCUCUAAGGAUUCCUGAUGUGUGACCAAUGUGGGGAAUUUGCCUGUGUUCGAAUGAUAUAUACAAAUCAGAGACAAUACCACAAUGAUGGAAACAGUUGAAUUGCACCUAUCAAAGAUAUCUUUUAAGAAAAGAAGCCACUAGUUCACUUAUUUAAUAAGCUAUUCAUCACUAAGGCACUGUUUAUAACGUUGUAAUUCAUAUAUAUAUAUAGGCUGGGGCUACUAUACUCUUAUGAGUAUAGACCCCCUUAUACUCAUAAAUUUUUAACCGUUGAUUGAUGAGAUGUGUGGUUAGGAUGAUGGUGGUCCCCACUUAAAAUGAUAGUGGUCCUUUAGGAUUGAGUGGGUAGUUGGUUGAAUAGUAUGAUCUAACGGAUGAAAAUGAUUAAUGGAAUAAAUCUAAGGGUCGAAAACUUAUGAGUAUAAGGGAGCCAAUACUCAUAAAAGUAUAGUAACCGGACUCAUAUAUAUAUAUAUAUAUAUAGAGCUAGGCUACUAUACUAUCCAUAGUACCGAGCUCUGGUACUAUAGUGUUGGUUUUCGAUCUUAGGGCGUUCAAAUCAACGAUCCACACCGUUAAAACUGAUCUAGGGUAUUUAAAGUUUCUAGAAAUAAAAUUUUAUAUUUUUUCGACAUAGUUUAUUUUAUGAUCAAACUAUUUCAAAAUUGUCAAUUUUCAAUGGCUAUUAUGACGAGUUUGGAGUUUAACGGUGUAGAAGAAUCUAAAUUUCUUCAAAUUUUGAUAGAAAAUACUUUAAACUAUAUAGAUUAAGGUUAACGUUCUUGAUCUUAAAUUUAAAAGUUCUAUGCUCAAAUUUUAAAGAUUAUUCAAUUUCCACCGUCCAUUUUGAUAUAAUUUAUUUAUUAAGUAAACGAUAUCGAAAAAAACUAAAAUUUUAUUCCUAAGAAAUUCAUAUACCCUAGAUCAUAUUUAACGGUGUGGAUCGUUGAUUUGAACGCCCUAAGAUCGAAAACAAACACUAUAGUACCGGAGCUCGGUACUAUAGAUAGUAUAGUAGCCUAAUUCUAUAUAUAUAUAUAUAUAUAUAUAUAUAUAUAUACAGAACAAAUAACAAGUAUUGAUAUGAAAAUAAAGCUUCCAAAGAAGAUACAGUAAGUAUCUUCACACAACAUAUUCCUCAACUACAUUGUCAAGUACCACUCAACAUAAAAGAGCAAGAUCUGCAAUGCAAUAUAAAGAGCAUCUAAUGUUAGGAAAGAGAAAAGUCUGCACAAACACUAGCUAAGUUAUAAAAAGAAUGAGCAUGAGAAUGAAGUUCUUGCCUGCCUUGUUGAGUCCAGGACCAAGAAGUCGAGGAAUCUGCUUAAUUAUAGCCUCGGAUGCUAGGAAAGCAUGAUAUUUCUUGGCAAGCUUCUUCACUAACUUCUUAUUUUUGUUCAUCUUUUUGAGCCCUUCAACAUCCAUGUAGUCCAACCCAAUUUUUUCAGCCUGCAUAAUAAAACAUUUGAAAUUGGUCCUAAAAUCAUGAGCAGAUGAUGCUAUUUUCCAUUAAAUAUUUCUAGAAGGUAAAAUUUCAUUGGCAGUCCUCGACCAUUUAGCAUAGCUUCAGUUAGCCCCCAAACUUUCAGAUUGUAUAAUCGGGCAUUUACAAAAUUGCAUUCUGGAGCAAAAUUAUGCAUUUUUUUAGGUUCCUUCAUCAAAUUGAACAGCAAUAUCCAUGUAAUUGUCAUCCAACUACCACAAAAGCGACUUACGGAUUUCUCAUAUGGUAAUUACAAGGGCAUUUUCAUUCAGUUCAAAUAGGAUUUUAAUGGAAAAGGGUAAGAUAGUAAUGGAGUGCAAAGUUUAGGGACUUGAUUGUAACAAUAUAAAGAAUUUGGGAAACAAACUGAAACCUUCAAAAACAGUUAGUAGGGACCAUCUGGUGCAAUUUACCUUUACUUCCAGCAAUAUAACUGUGUCAUGAUUAGCUAUUGAUAAGACAUAGAAAAUAUAGACUUUAAUUAUAAAUCAUGCUUUCUACAUAUGAGAUGUACGAAUAUGACAUCCGAAAUAAAUUAGCAUGAAGAUAAUCGCAAGCCAUAUACCUCUUCCACGUGCUGAGCAUCGCCAAGCAUGCAAACCUUCAUCUUUGGGCGUGGGAUAUGAGGCAACUUCACAGAGCCGCUGAACCGCUUAUCCUUCUGAGGGUCAUAGUUUUUUAGCCCAAUCUGCAACUCAACAGUCUCUGUGAACUUGCGCUUCUUCUCUCGAGAAUCACCAACAACCUGAGAGAUGGCCUCUUUCAGCGCAUCACUCUGCAACUUGCUGUAAAAGGGAAAACAGAAGAGAGAAUAUGAAUAUUAGCCAUAAUGACACACCACAUUAACUGCAAACAAAUGAUUUCACUUCAUACUGCUCUGGACGUCAUGCAACAGUAUGUUUAGUUCAAUUGAAGUGGUGUACAUCAGAAACAUCACAGUCACUCUUUAAGAUAAAUACAAAUAAAAUAAUUAUAAUUAAUUACUCUUUAUUUUAUCUUCUAUUAACUGUGGAAUAUAGAAAAACACGGCAGCCAAAACGAAAUUAGCACUAAAGUGUAUCCCUAAAAUAUGAAAUGAAAAGGGGCAACAACUUCACUAACCAAAGUAUUCACAAAUUUUGAAUGCAGAUAUGCACGAUGAGCACAAUUUACAAUUGCCACUUUUUGCACCAAAUAAAAAUCAACAUUUUUUACUUCACUAGGAUGUUACAUUUAUGUCCUUAUAAAAUAUAGACCAACAAAAUACAUUCCAUGAAUUGCAUAUGCAACGCACAAUGGAGAAAGCACAAUAAGCACAAUUUUCAAUUGCCACUUUUUUCACCAAACAGAAAUCGACAUUGUUCUUCACCAGGACAUUCCAUUCGUAUAAGCCAAAAAAAAAUGUACUCUAUGAAUUGCAUAUGUAAUCCGUAAUGCAGAUAUACAACUUUUUCACCAAAAGAAAAGGGCAUUUUUUGCUUCACCAGGACGUUCCAACCGUAUAAACCAACAAUACAUAUUCCACGAAUUGCAUAUUCAAUCAGCAAGUCGAAUUUUGCCCAUCACUGCAGUGAACCCCAUAAUCCAUGGAAGCUCAUCAAAUCAUAUCAGAUAUCUAAUCAAUAUAAUUACAAAUCAGUAAUAUUUAGCAAACCAACCCAUUUUGAUCAAAACCUGAGAACUCCAUUCUCCGAUCACUACUACCAUCCAUCACAAUAAGAUCAGGUUAUAAUAAAAACUAUGAAAUCUCCUUUUUUUCACUCAAAUUAUAUCGAUAAGCCGCCAAAAAUUAACAAACAACGAUAUGCAUUUAGAUCAACAUUGCAUUGAAAAAAAAAAUUCCUAUAAACAAUAAACUAUGCACAUCGAAUGCAUAUAAAGAAUAACACAAGAAAAAUUAUAAAAAAGAAAUUGACAUAAAAUUAUACUAAAAAUAUACCAAAAAAAUAUGAUACCUCAUGAUUCUUCUCCUCUGUGGAAGAUAUUUCCCCUACUUCUCUUUUGCCUUCAAAUUCAAAUGAAAAAAUGAUGCACAAAGUAUAUGAGAUGUAAUUCCAAACGGAGAAUUUAACAGAAAAAAUCAACAAAAAAAAAACAGUAAAAGAGAGGGAAAAAGGUAUUGGAAACAAGUGAUUAAACAAAAAUCAAUAACAAAUCAUCAAAAACAUAUAUAUCAGAGAUUAAUCAAUCGCAUACCUGGGAGGAGAGAAACCCUAAUCUACGGAAGAGGGUUUUACGAGGCGGCUACGGCGAAAGAUAUAGCAAAAAACCCUAGCAAUCAACGGAAAUCUAAAAUUACCAAAUAGUCCAUAGUCUUUUCCUCAAUACCGCAUAUAUCCUUUUCUCUUUUUUAUAUUUUAUUUAGCCAUUUUGCAGGAAAAUAUUCUUUAGUUUUAAUUUUGCAGUUUAGUCCUUUCUUUUGGCUGUUUAAAACUUUUUACCACAAAUUUUGGAAGUAGGUUAUCAGAUAAAUUAUAACCGAAUCAAUCCAAAUCAGUUUGAGAUAAUCGAAACCAAAACCAAAUUGAUGGCAUAAUGAGUCAAAGAAAUUUUUAGUUUGGUUUAUGUUUGAUUUGUUUGUUUAAAUACUAGAAGUUUUUUUUAAAAAAAAAAAGAAACGUAGGAAGCUAUGUUUUUCGUUUAUUUUUUCAUUUAUUUUUUAAAGUAAACUUACCUAGAAAUAUAUAACAACUAGGCAUCAAACUUGAAAUAUCAGGUAUUAAACGUCGAGCUCUUAACCAACUAUCUCAAAAGUACGUGCUAAUAAGAAUAACUCAUUCAUUGCACUUAAGAGUACUCAGACACAGCGCUUCACAGAUUUCAACCUCACUCAACACAUCUAUUAACUUAUAUGAAUCCCCAAUAAUUUUUGCUAUGUGGCAAGUUGUCCUUCACCCUCACCAGCAUUUGACCCUCCGCAUUUCCUUCAUCAAACUUUUAAUUAAUGCAUUUAAUUAAUUCAUCUAAAUAUUUUCACUACCAAACUUUUAAUUAAUGUAUUUAAAUAGUUUCGCUAUAAUCUACAAUUUUCACUUCUCUCUCCAAUUAAUUUGUUAUAAUCUUUCUCCUUUCCUACACCAGACUUCUAAUUAAUGCAUCCAAACCAUCCGCUACCAUUUAUAAUCCGCAUCUUUUCAUCUCCAAUUAAUUUAUCAAUUUUCUCUCCCUCAUUUUUUUCUAUACACCGUCGCCUCUCUCCCUCCCUUUUUUUUGAGAGAUAGGUAGCACGCUACCCGCUUCGUUUAUUUCAUUUAGAAAUAAACUUAGCUGGAAAUAUGAAUCAACUAGGAUUCGAACUUGGGUCUCGGGUACCAACCACCAAACCCUUUGUCACUUUCUCACUAAUGCGUGCCUAUCUCCCCUCUCGGCCGCAGGUGAAGGGAUCGUCGUUAUCUUUAUUAUCAUCAUCCUCGGAGAAUGCGUCAUCAUUUGAUGUUCCCUUAUUAUUAAUUACUCCUAUAGUUUUUACCCGCCGCAAAGUGGAGACUCCUUCACUGGUUUGUGUAUUAAAUCUUUUGUUGGGUCUUUUACCGUUGGAUCGAUUAUGGGCUGCAGUCCUAAUUAACUUAUUAAGUUGAACCCAACUUAACUCAAUAGUCUUCUAAGUUAUUGUCGUGUGACAGUAGGAUCUAUUUUAGCCAAUAAUAAAAUACAUGCUGGUAAAAAGGAUACAUCAAUUGCACUUAAGAACUCAGUCACAAUGCUUAGCAGGUUUCGACCUGAUUCAAUUCAUCUGAAUGUUAGAUUUAUUAUUGGAUUUCUUACCGUUGAAUUUAUUGUAGACCAUAACUCCAUUCAACUUAUUGGGUUGAGUUCAACUCAACUUAAUAGAUUUCUGAGUCUAUUAUUACAAGACAGAAAGUUGAACUUAUUUAAACUGAUUAAAAAUAGCCAACGCUAAGUGCGGAUCAAUUUGGUUUUUGGUAUAGGGAGAGAGAGAGAGAUAGAGGUUAGAGUAUUUUUAGAAGCAAACUUAGGAGUUUAUUUCUAUAUCGUUGCUGUUGAUGGGGAAUAAUAAAAUUUGCACAUUCAAAAUAUGAUUUAAGCUAUUUAAAUUUUUAAAAUAUUAUUUGUCUAGUAAUCAAAUAGACUCAAAAUCACUUUAUAUUAAUCAUUAAAAUUUAUUAAUUUUAAGACAACUCACAUACUAGAUAAAUAAGAUCAUAAAAUUAUAAAAUUCGAACCCUAAAAAGUUCAUAGAGCCCGUAUCAAGUUCAAAUUGCUUACGUAUACAAAAUAUUCGCUCUCAUUUCAGUUUUUGGAUCAUAAAAUCAAAUUGUAGCUUGCCAUGUGAGAAUGUUUCUAAUCCAAUCAAAUCAGUUACAGCCAAAAAUUGAACCAAAUCAAACUAAAAAAUUAUGGAUUUGGUUUACUGUAGUUUUUCUCUUUUUUUUCUUUCUUUUUUUUUCUUUUUUUUUUCUUGUACCAUGCUCACCCACACACCUAUGCACUGGAUCAUCAGGCUUUACAUAUUACUCUUCUAUAAUUAAUAAUGUGAAUCCAUUUACAGAUUGGCUUAUAGAUAAAGCAGUGUGGCAUUUUUAGAUUCUCACAUUGAAAAAUAAAUUGAUGUAGAAUAAUAAUUUAAAGAGCAGAGAAUUAACAUGCACUAUUACCUUGAAAUUUAAAUGUGUUAGAACAAAUACCGCAAUAAAAAUCUGAUUGUGAUUUAAAUCUAACUAAAUUUUAUUAUGAAAAUAAAUAAAUACAACUUACAGAUAAUUGCUAAAUCCAAAUAGAAAAUUUGAUCCGGAAGCGUGCGAGGCACUGCCCUAAGGCGUAUUCCCGUCCUUACGUGCGAGAUUAACCAGGAACAACACCCCAAGGUACGACCGGAAUUCCUCUUUCUGUGAGCACGAUCGUGAAGGAGGUUGACAAAGACUCUUUUAACAUCCGAUGACUAAAAGGAUUAAGAAAUUGAAUAGAAUAGAGAUUAAAAAUACUUCUUUCUCUUUUUCUUCUCACUCUCCAAUGUUCAUAUCAUAUGAACAGUGCAAAAGGCAUUAUAUAUAGGGACUUGAGAAAAGAAUGUUAGAGACCCACUCCUUUAAUCCGUAUGUUCCGACUUAUUAAUUGAAAUAGUAAAUAAUAAUAAUAAUAAAAGCUAAUAAAUGAGAAUAAAAGGGUUAAUAAAUAAAAUAAUAAUAAUUAGGAAAUUUUGGAUUUUUUCUCCAAUAAAAUGCUCGAAUUUUUGCGUUGUAUGGAUGAUUCUAAUAUAAGUAAGUUACAUUCUUGGUCACCAAGAGUCAGUUUGGAAAUUCUCUUGUUUGUUUCACAGAUUACGGAGAGAUAUAAAGUGGUUCUUAACCUUAGAUUCUCACUUUUGUUACUUGGUUUGCCGUAACUUUACCUUCAUAGAACUAAUUCUCAAAAUACUGUAGUUAUUUUCGUCCCAUUCCAGGCUGAAGUCAAUUACGAAAAAAUAACAGAGUGAGAAAAAAAAAAAUAGGAAACUUCAACUUUUACGUCAUUUACUUCGUUUUUCUCAAACAAAUAGCAAAGCUGAAAAAACUUCAGCUUUUGUUUUAUUUAUUUCUUUUUUCUCAAAUAAACAACAAAACUGAAAAAAUUUCAGCUUCAUAAUUAUAAAAAUAAAGAGCAAAACUGUGGCAUUCCAAUAGUCUCGCAUUGAAUAAUAUGAAAGAAUAUAUAUAUAUAUAUAUAUAUAUAUAUAUAAAACUAGCUUUCUCGAAACCAUAAGAAAGAAAAAUUGGAAAAGGGGGGUUUUUCAUGGAUUUUUUUUUUUCUGAAAACUAAUUUUUCAUGCUUUUCUGAGGAACCAAACACCUAAACGAAUAGAAACUACUUUUUCAGCCAAAAAACUAUUUUCUAAAACUUUUUCCGAGAAAUCAAAGAAUAACUAAUUUUUAUUUUUUUUCUCCCUCCUAAUUAACUUCUUUCUGGGUUGAGAAAAAUUUGUAUUUACAAUAAACUACACAACGAAACUAAAUAUUUAUGGCCGAAAGUAAAUUCACUCGGUCAUUUUUAUUCACAUUCAGUGAAACAAACAUGCCCUGAAAGAUGCGCGCGCGAGAGAAUCCUCUAUAAUACAAUACCCACAAGUAAUUAAAGUUCCAAAGUUUUGGGUUAUCAAAUUGGUGAAGCAAAAUAGAUCUAGAGAUAUUGAAAAUUGAAAUCACCACGCUUUCACUAGCUAUCGUAUUCCCCUAAGCUUGGUAGUUCAAAUGGGUUGAAAAAGUGUAGGCUAGUUUGAAAUAGAGCCCUAAAAUUGUUUUUUUUUUAAAAAAAAAUUUCCAAUGAUGUUUAAUUUCUUAACUUUUAUUGGUUUUAGUUUUAGUGAUUUUCACCAUACGGAUUGGUAAUUUCGUUAAACUUGUUGGUAAUUUUUAGUUCAUACUUAAUUCCUUAACUAUAUUACCUGGAUUUUAAUUUGAAAAAUUUGCGAGUUCGCAUCAAUAGCUUAUCACUGGCUUAUUAAUAGAAUUUCUUAUUCAUUUGAUGGAAAUUACGAAGAUUGAAAGAAACAAAAGUUAGCGGAGAUUAAUAAUAAUAAUAAUAAUAAUAAUAAUAAGUUAAAUGGAUUAAUUACACCAAUGGUCCCUAACCUUUACACUGUUUUUCAAUUUGGUCCCCAACCUUUUUUUUUUUGCAAUCAAAUUCCUAAUCUUUUGAUUUCAUUUCAAUUAAGUCCCAGCCGUUAGAUAGCUGUUAAAAUUGACGAAAAAUGUCACGUCAGCACUAUAUCAGUGCCACAGAGGCGCCAUGUCAGCGCCACGGUGGCGCUGUGUCAGUGGAUUACAAAAGAAAAAAGGUUAUGGACCAAAUUGAAAAACGGUGCAAAGGUUGAGGACCAAUGGUGUAAUUAAUCCAUUAAAUUUAUAAAUUCAAAAAAAAUUUAAAUUUUGAUUUUGGAUUCAAAUUUAAAUUGGAAUUCAAAUUCCGAUUUUGUAUUUAAUUUUAAAUUCAAAUUCACAUCUCGAAUUCUAAAUUCUAAUUUAAUUUCAAACUUCGAUUUGAAAUUUCAAAUUCAAAAUGUGAAUUUGAAUUCGAAGUUUAAAUUCAAAUUUAGAAUUGAAAUCAAAUAUUAAAUUCAAAUUUAAAUUUUGAAUUCAAAUUUAAAAUUAAAAAUCAAAUUUUUGAAUAUGAUUUUAAAUUUAAAUUCAGAUUUUAGGACAUAAUUGUAAUAAAAUCAAAAGGUUAGGGACUCAAAUAAAAAAAAAAGAUUGGGGACCCAAGUGAAAAUUAGUGCGAAGGUUGGAGACUACCGGUGUAAUUAACCCAAAAGACACCAACGUGGCGCCUACGUGUCAGUUUCUGUCGAGUGUGACGGAAUUAUAGACGGUUGGCCCUAAUUGAAAUAUUUUAUUACAAUUGGGAACUCAAUUGACAAAAAAAAAGAUUAGAAACCUAGUUGAAAAUUUGGAAAAAGGUUGGGGACUAAUGGUGUAAUUUACCCAAGUUAAAAUACAGAAAAUCUUUCUUUAAAUAUCUUUUUUUUUAUCUUUCUUUUCUGAUUUUCAAAACCUAUAUUUUACUCUUUAAAAAUUUUGUAAAUAUUUUCAGAAGGUUACGUCAUUAACGGAGAGUACGAAAUAACCAAAUUACUCUUACUUAUUUUAUAAGUAAAUAUAUAUAUAUAUAUUAAAUAUAUUUUUGUUAUUUUUAAGCGUAUUUUCGAUAUAAAUUAUAAGAAAUAGACAAAAUAGUAACAGAAUCCCGUCGGAGGGGAGCUAAAUAUAUCAAAUUAAAAUUUUAAGGGAGUUUUGAAAGUUAUAGGAAAAAAAAAUUAAAAAAGCAGAUAUUUACCGAAAAAUUUUCUGUAUUUUAGCAAAAAAAAAAAAAAGCUAAAUUAUAUAAAACUCCCCUAUCAAAAUUCGAUUUUUCACUUUCCCUCCCUGUCAUUUAAAAACCUACGUUUUGCCUCAUUGUAAAAUGAAAAAUGUUCACAGGGUGUAAGGUGUAAAUUAUGAUGACAAAAUGACAAUUUUGCCCCUCACUAUUUUUGGCGCACAGAAGAGAAGACUGAAGGCAUUUUUGGUAUAAAAAAAUAUAUAUAAUAAUAUUUUAUAAACGGAACCAUAACAGAUCACUAACGGCAGGAGGUGAGGUGAAUAUUUUUCAUUUUACAAUGGGGCAAAGUAUAAGUUUUUAAAUGACAGAGGAGAAAAGCGAAAAAUCGGAUUUUGACAGGAAAAUUUUCUAUGAUUUGGCCCCAAAAAAAAUAAAAAUGAAGAUUAAUUUGAGACCUACAUGGGAAUAUUUGUCUGCAACAACCAUGUGAUUGUUUGAAUGAUGGGAAACACAAUGGUAGCUAGAACUCCGCUCAAACAUCAUACAUCAGUUAGAAUCCAAAUCGUCACCUAAUUAAUUAAACUAUAAAAUUUCAUGAUGCUUAUGACAGAUGCACAGUAAUAGCACCCAAAGAAUUAAAUUGGUUGUUUAUAUAAUUAUAAACUAUUCAUAGAGUAAUUAAUUUGUGGUUAGUUUGGUUUUUUUUUUUCCCAAUAUUUUUUUGACAAUUUUAUAGAUUAAAUCAGGGCUAAAUAACAAGUUUGGGACAGCAUACGCCACGCAGACGAUAAAUACCGGUAUACAUGAUCAUCAAUUAUUUAGUUCAGAUAGAUAUUAGAAUCGGAAUAAAUCAUUCCCAUUGUCGGUGUUUGGUUCAGAUAGAUAUCAAAAACGUAAUCAAAUUAAUAUGUCAAUUUUAUCUUUAUAAUAUAUUAAUUUAAAUUCAAACUAAAAAUUAAAUAUUAAAAAUAUGGGUCAAAAUUUGUAAAUGAUGUCAAAAUUUUAAAUAUUUUUUAAAAAAAAAUUAAAAUUUGAAAUUGAACGGAUAAUUCAAAAUAUAAAACUAAAUUUCGAUAUUGAAAUUCAAACUUAAAAUUAUAAUUUCAAUUUCAAUUUGAAUCCAUAAAUUUAGUUUAAAGUUUAAAUAAAAUUUGAAUAAAACUUUAGAUUUUAAAUUAAAUUUAAAUUUAUAAAUUAGAUUCAAAAUGCUUGAUUGAAUUUUAAUUUUUAAUUUAAGUUCAAAUUAAAAUUAAAAUUUAUAAAUAUAAUUUUUCAACUUAAAUUUUUUAUUUUAAUUAAAAAAUAAACUAAAAAAAGGUUACAUUUAAUCCGAACAAAUCUAUUCUACCGGGAUUCAAUUUCCAAUCAGGCAUCUUAGGCCAGAUUGGAAAAAUGAGUAAUUGAGGGAUUCCCAUUCAUCCGGAAAUCGGAAUCGAAAUGGAAAUUCCGCAUAUCAAAUACGGACAAACGAAUUCGUAUUUCAAUUUUAUGGUGAAAAAAAGGCGAACCAAAUAAGUCCUUAAAAUAGUUGGUUGAUACCUUGGAGUGAAAAUAAAAUGUGUAUAUUAGAAAAGUAACAAAAUAAAAAUACGCGCGCUAAACUAGGUAGAGUUAGAGGCUAAUCGAAGUUUAAGUACCCACUAAUGAACUUAAUGUAACUCAUGUGUCUUAUCAAAGAUGGAGUAUACAUGAAGUGUUAAUUAUACAUAGCUUGAGUGACAAGAGUCUGUGUACAGAUUCACAAAAAAGAGUUAUUCAACCUCUCCCACCAAACCACCACCUAAAUUACCAUCACCCCAAUUAAUCCAUGCAAACACACACACACAAACACACACAUGCAUGCAUAAUAAUUUACAAUAAAAAUCCAGAUUUGGGCAACAACACACAUCAACCCCUCUUGACACUGCAAUGGUAUACCAUGUCCAAUCACAUAUUUAGAGAGAGAAAGAUCUAGAGAGAGAGAGGAAAAGGACCAGGAGGAGAAAAUGAUGGUUCAGUAUUUGAUGAACUACCCUACUCUCUCCCCCUCUCUCUCUCUCUCUCUCUCUCUCUCACUCCUGUGUACAGCAGGUGUUCAACAGUCAAACCAAACAUGGCCAUCUCAUAAAAACAGGCAUCAAAAACCCACAAGUUUUUACUUCUUGGCCACUGCACUAUUAUCUCCACCUCCUCCUCCUCCUUAUCUCACAAGAAAACAGCCCCUAUAUACACUUCCUGUAUUCUAAAAGAACACAACAAUAACAACAAGAGAGAGAGAGAGAGAGAGAGAGAGAGAGAGAGGGUGGUACAAAGAAGAAGAAGUAAUAUUAAGCAUGGCCAUGAAGUUGGUGGUGGUGGUGGUGGUGGCAGUGGCGAUUUGCGCGACUGCAGUGGCAGCAGCAACAGACGACGACGAGCCGAUCGGAGCGUCGUUCGUGUUCGGGGACUCGCUGGUCGACUCGGGGAACAACAACUACCUCUCCUCACUGUCGAAGGCCGACAUGCCGCCCAACGGCAUCGACUUCGCCGCCUCCGGCGGGCAGCCCACCGGGCGGUUCACCAACGGGAAAACCAUAGCCGACGUCAUCGGUAAGUGCAUAUAACAUUAAUAACUGCGCUUAAACAUUUUGUGUCGGUCCGUGUUACAAAACUUUAUUUUCUUACUGUAGGAGAAUUGCUGGGGCAAACGCACUACGCGACGCCGUUUCUCGCUCCGAACACGACGGGUCGUGUGAUACUAAACGGUGUAAACUAUGCGUCGGGAGGAGCAGGAAUCAUGAACGGAACGGGACGAAUCUUCGUAUGUUUCUUCUAAAUUUAAAUUUUUGCGAAACAUAAACCAAAUUUAAUCCUUUUUGAGUAAGAUGUAUUGUAAAUUUGUAAGUUUCUGAGAUCAUAGUAUAAGAAUGUUGAAGCAUACAUAUAUAAACCAUGUGUUAUAUGAGUAUAUAUGUGUUUCCUUUUGCACAGGUUAAUAGGAUUGGAAUGGACGUACAAAUCGAUUACUACAACAUAACUCGGCAACAAAUAGGUGAACUACUGGGGGAGGCCAAAGCAAAGCAGUUCUUAGCAAGCAAAGCGAUUUUCUCGAUCACCGUCGGAUCGAACGACUUCCUCAACAACUAUCUCUUCCCCCUGCUCUCCGCGGGAGUGCGAGUCCUCGAAUCGCCCGACGGCUUCAUCAACGACAUGCUCGCGAACCUCAAAUCGCAACUCACAGUAAUAUAUAUACAGCCCUGAUAAUCUCUUUACGCUUAUAUAAAAGACACAAACUGUGCAGUUUUCGCAGACCGAGCUUUCGAACGUUCGUUCUGUUGUUGCUGUUGCAGAGGAUGUACGCGUUGGAUGCGCGAAAGUUUGUGGUGGCGAACGUCGGUCCCCUCGGAUGCAUCCCGUAUCAGAAGACGAUAAACCGAGUCGGGGAGGCCGAGUGUGCCAGCUUACCGAACCAGCUCGCGGUGCAGUACAACGGUCGGCUGAGGGAUCUGCUCGCGGAACUGAAUGACAAUCUCCCGGGCGCCAAAUUUUGCCUCGCGAAUGUGUACGAUCUUGUCAUGGAGCUGAUCUCAAACUACGAGCAUUACGGUAAGAGCAGAAUUCCGUUUCAGGACUAAAUUCUCGUUCUCUUACCGACAAAUCUGGAUUGAAAAAAAUGUGUGUGUGUGUGUGUGUGUGUGUGUGCAGGAUUUGCAACUGCAAGUACAGCUUGUUGUGGAAAUGGAGGGCAGUAUGCAGGAAUCAUACCUUGCGGGCCGCAGUCGAGUCUUUGCGACGAUCGAUCGCAGCACGUCUUCUGGGAUCCCUACCACCCGAGCGAGGCUGCGAAUGUCCUCAUGGCGAAGUACAUUGUCGACGGAGACACGAAGUAUAUUUCGCCUGUAAAUCUUCGACAGCUUCUCGCGCUUUAGAUCCAUUCUUUCCUGAAUGUUUCAGAAUACAUAUACUUAGCUAUAUCAAGUGAGGGGUGCAUUUUGGGUGAAUUGUUCUUUAUCGGUGCGAGCAAUUUACAAUUCAGCAAUGUCGAAAACAAGAUUUAAAGAAUUGAAAGAUUGUUGUUAUAGGGGGGGUAUUCUUUAAGUAAUCUGUGUGUUUUCUGUAUUAAUUUAAUUAUGUUUACUGUGAUGAAAUGUUAAGUUUUGUCAAUCUUUUAGGUCUAAGCACCGUUCAAAAUAUUAUAACCAAGUUAAAAAAUCUUAGUCUUAAUAUAUCUUAUAUAUAAAAGAAUAUUCUAAAUCCUAAGAGUGUCACAUUUCUCCCGCUGUAUAAUCUUAACUCAAUCGAGAUUUAUAUCACAUUUUCGACUGAUGAUUGAUUCUAAUAACAACUAUGACAUCAUAUUUCUUAAGAGAUUACUCAUUUUAAAACUACUCUGAUCCUAACACGCUUAACUUUUUUAAUCUUUUAAGUCUAGCCACCGCCCAAAAUGCUACAACUGAGUUAAAAAUUUUAGCCCUUUUUAUAUAAAAUUAUUUCAAAUUUUAGGAAUGUCACAGUAAUUAUAUCAAAAGAAAAGAGAUCCUUGACAAAUUUUUAUCUAAAUCUAUCAAUAACAUGGGAGUUCUCAGAAAAUAUGAAAAAAAAAGGAAACAAAGGACAAGUAAUGUCUUUCCAACUUAAAAGCAGGAUGUGACUUCUGAUAUAUCAUCAGGACACAAUAUAUUGCAUCUUUCUGGAGCAUGGAUUUGUAUAUUAAAAUUUCCCCUACACUAAAUUACUGAAGAGAACCACCUGAUCUGUUCUUAUGUAGAUUCACAAACACAAAAUUUGUUGCAAACGAUGCACCGAAAUUUAAUUUUUAUUUAAUUAGAUUUCUUUGAUAGAACUCUCUAAUGAUGAUUGAAUCGAAGUAAUAUAAGAUGAUAUGACACUUGAAUCAACUAUCAUUGCAUCACCGCAUUGUUUCGUGGAAAUGGCUUGGUUCAUCAAAUCACUGUUACAUCAUCUAAUGGAAUGCAAUGAAGCGGCAAGAGUGAAACAGGAAUUGAAUUCUGUUACAUCAUCUAAUGGAAUGCAAUGAAGCUGAAACAGGAAUUGAAGUUAGGAACUACAGUAAAAUUCGGCGCUAAGUUCAGUGACCAAUGCUCUGUAAUUCAUCUGCAGUUACACAAUGCAUGAUUUGCAGUUUAAGCUUUCUCACCAUUCCUUCGACACCUUCCCAUACCUGGAUUCAUCCUCACCUUACAAAUUCAAAAAGCUGAUAGAUAUGUUCAAGGACUCGGCUCCGAAUCUCAGCAUACAUCGACGGCAACACUUCAGUAUCUGUUAUACAAUUUCAUCCAUUUUUCUAUUGGCAAAAGAGAAGCGAAUGUGAAUUCCGAAUUUCGUCUGAUUUUAUUCAUCCCUAACAUGGUUUUGAGACAAGCUAAGUUUACACAAGUGCAUAAUAACAACCAAAAAUCAGAUAAAUGAUGGUGCUCUAUAGGGCUUACAUUAAGAGAGUCAUAGUCCUAAAAGUACAAGGAAUAUGUUCAACGGUACAUGGAUAGGUCCCAUUGCAAACUUAAAAUUGACCUAACAACUAAACUAUGGAACCUGGCAUAAAUAGAACAAGAGAAUUCUAUAAUACAUAAUGACUAAUUCAGCCUCUGCUUCAGCCUAUACAUUGCAGUCCAAAAAAAUAGCACGGGAAAUAAUUCAAGAUGUUCACCUCACCAACAGCUAAGUAUGAUUCCCGAUGUUCUAAGAGACAAUUUAAAUAGUUAUUUCGUCACUCGAAUGAAUAUUUACCUCUCAAGGAGAUAGCUUUUGCUUUUAUCGAGCACGGGCCGUACUAGGUUGCUUCGACAAGCGAUUUGAAUGUUUUUUCCUUUUUGUGUUGACUACCGGAGCUGGCUCGACCAGCGGUCCAGACCAAGUAGACAAUGGGCCUUUCUGGGUGGGGAAUACCGUGCUGAAUGAAGCCUCUGGGGGGUCGAAUGUAGGGUCGAUGUGAUGAGAUGAGCCCAAAGGGAAGCCGAGGGCCCCGUCCUGAUGUGGUGGGGGGAACUUCUCACUCUUGCUCUUUGCGUUUGCGUGGGUGAUUAGCCUCCUUUUCUGUUCAUGCAAAAAUGAGAAAUGGGUGAGCAAACAAACUACCAAUUGACAGUUUUCUUUCACUUAAUAAACAACUAGAAACACUGAAAAGUAGGAUUUAUUCAUGAAUUUGCUUCUUGUUAUCUUUUCCAAAAAAAAAAAGAAGAAAAAAAAAAAACUUUAUGAACACCAGAGUUGGUGCUUCACUGUUCUAUAGACCAUGACUUGCAUCCAGAUAUCUUUUCCGAGAGUAGCAAGAUGAAUGAAAUUCAGAAUAGUAGUAAAAUAAGUAAAGCAGACACUGUUGUGAGAAGAGAAACAAAAGAAUAGGUCACUCCCCAGUACAUCGGACAGGUGGAGAAAUGUGAACAACAUGAACUAGUUUGACAGCUAAGAAUGGCCAAAAUAAUCCUAAUAAUGAUAGCAACAAAAAUUGGGGUAAAUUUGCUCAUGUAACCAGACAAAAUAAACUAGAGACCACCAACAAUCAGUUAACUGAAACAUAUACAGUAACCAGGGUAACGUGCCAAGCACUAACACUGAAGCAUUGCAUCAUUCAGGACUUUUAAGCUGAAUAAUCAAUAAGCUGCAACUAGGACGGUCAACAAGACAACUAAGAGUCCAAAUCAAUUUUUACUUGAACUUCAAACUUAAAAAAAAAAAAGGCAAAUUAUCUCCAUUUUGUAAAAUCCAAUACUGGAGGCAACAUCUUCCAAUUAAAAGGAGAUUGACACUUGCUUUUUGUGUCAGUUAAGCACUGUUGCAACUUUUCUAAGAUCUAAUUAAGGAGGCUCAUUUCAGCCCUCUUUUCACCCUGCGAUAAAUGGCCUCAUCAUGAUAGUUGCUUUAAUACUGCUCUAGGCCUCUAUCUCCAUUACACAAUGAAUAGACUAGUCAAGUGCUGUUCUAAUAUUGCUGUAACUUUUGGAAAACGUAGUUAAGGAGGCUCAUUUUAGCCUUUUCACCCUACAAUAAAGGGCCUCGUCAUGGUAGUUGCUUUAAUACUGCUCCAUGCCUCUUAUCGCCGUUACACAACGACGAAUAGACUAGUUGAGUUGCAUGUUUUAAUCAAUGCGAGAAAUUAAAUUUAAGGCAGUAAGUUAAUUUGACAUACAUCAAGAUUUGUUUGCAGUUCAGCAUUUGCCUCCGGAGCUGGAACAGCUCUAGUAGCACGAUCACGUAUACGUGUCUUCUUUGCCCCAUCGCCAUUAGCUCUUCCACCAGCAGCUCUUAACCUACAAUGCUAGGACAUGUUAGACAACCCAAAGCAUUUGGAAACCAAUAAUGAAAUAAACAAACACAUAUCAUACACAAAGGUUAUCAAGGGACUGUUUGGAUGUCGAAACAAGUUGUUUUGUGAUACUUGUGCAAAAUAAAUUAUUUUGUGAUUGAAUCCCAAGAAUUUUCAGGAUAAUACAUUCCAGAUGCAAGAUGAUUAGUCAUAUUCUGAAAAAGAAACAAAGAAAAGAAAGUUAGGGGCCAUAUAUAUUAUACCACCGUAAACAUCUUUUUUUUCUCCCAAAAACCAAUUGCAAAACGUUCUUGAGUAAAGGAAAGUGGUACAUUCAACAAGAUUUUCAUGCAUCCAAACAAGCCCUAAUUGAUUAAUUUUUUAAUUUCCAUAUAGACAAUCUCUAUUUGACCAACUAUGACUUUAAUAGAUACAUAUACUUGACAAUGUAAGCCAUUUACUUCCAGGUCCAGAAUGAAGAAUUGUUUUCAUUAUCCUGUAAGGCUAGCUUACAUUGGAUUGAUUGUUGUGAUCACAUUGUUUAGCUCACAGAGCUAACAAAAACCUCCCAAGAGAUUCUAUGCGCAUGAAAAUUUUCAAAAUGGAUAUAUCAAACAAAGGAACCUUACUAAACAAUAAAUAAUAUGCUAUUAUCUGAAAUUCCAAGAGAGAACAAAUUUAUUUCUUCUUAACCGGUAAACCACGUCAUUUGAUAUCUAAAUUACUGAGGAUUGUACAUCAUCAAGAGAACAUGAAUUAUCUUGAAGUAUGUUGAUCUCAUUAGUUCUCUACCAUAUUUACAUCAAUCUUGAUUGUUGCCUUUUCUUGGUAGUAGGUAUUAUGUUUCAGGAAAGAUAAAAAAAAAAAGAAGAAGAUUUCUCGCUUGGAACUGAAAAAAAAUUUUUCAAAGUCGAAAUCCCAUUUCAAAAGGUAGAAAAUUAUACAAGCUACGCCCACUUGCUAUUCUCAACAAUCUGACCAAUAGGACUACUACAUCUAUCGCUUUGGCCUCUCUCUUGCAUUUCUUACGUGUUUGACUGUCACAACAAUCAACACAAUGUAAAUUAUAACUAUUAGAAAGUGCUUAUACAAUGGGAUCAUUCUUGACUAGCUCACAAGUAUAGAUUACAACUAAUAGAAAGUGCUUAUACCUAUUAUUGGUUAUCUUAAUAUAUUUAUCAUACUUUUUGUGCUUUUUGUGACCAAAUUUUCUGGAUCAUUAAGAUGAUACCUUCUAAGGAUGAUUUUGGAUGAUAAUGCAGAGGAUAAAAAACAAGAAUCAAAAUGGUGCAAAACUAGAAUCAAUUUUUACUUCGAUGCCAAUAAACUAAAAACUCAGAUGUCACGAACCUUCUAGCUUCUUCAUCCCUUCGUUUAGCAUCCAUCUCCUUGCUUGGAGGAUAUUGUGGCAAACUUGAAGGGUCACAUGCAUAAGGCAUAGUCAUAAAGAACUGCAUGUAGAUGAAGAAAAACAUCCAGGUCAAUGAGGUGCUCUAUGAAGCUUCAAACUAUGAAUGUAAUAGGAAAAUAAAUAUAAGAUAAUCAACUAGAUGUACAGAAGACAAUUUUGAAAUUGACUGGGACGGUCAUUUAGUGCAUAUUAACAAAAACCUAUGUUUCUUCUACUAGUUUUAAUAUUUGCAUCAAUAUAUAUAUACAAAAGACCUCAAGCAUGAAAAGAUGGUAGCAGAAUACUCAAUGGGGUCACUUUCAAGCCUGUAAAGUAGCAUAUAGGCGAAAUGUCCUAUCAUAAGACUUCAAUAGGGCAUUUCACCUCUAUGCUACCUUCACUAAGCCUGUAAAAUCACUUCUGUUGAUUUUUCAUAAGACUUCAAUAGGGCAUUUCACCUCUAUGCUACCUUCACUAGACACAGAGAGAGUCUUGAACAAGGAUAAAACUUGAUUAUUCAUGUCACAAGAAUCUCAUCGUCUAAUUUUUCAGAACAAGUCUUUUUUGACAAACAAAAUUCAAUUGUUAUAUGAUAAAUUUAAUGAUAAAACAACUCGAAUCAACUUCUUUGGGACAGGUAGUAGUGGAUAAACUCUACAAAAUAGUAAAUUUGUAUCCAGUGAUAAAAAGCCCAGGAGCUAAUAUGCAUUUGGAAUGAAGAGGUUACUGUCAUCAUCGAAGCUCUAAUCAUAGAAUAACUCCACUUAUGAAGAUUAAGCAUAGAGUGGAUAGCUUCAGAAGAAUCACCAGCAAAAUUUCAAUCUCAUCAAUCCAAUAUGGAAUUGCACUCAAAGACAGAUUGGAAGAAACUUGUAUCUUAAUGUCUCUUCUUCCAAAGGUGUGUUAGCUCCUAGAAUAGGAAAAGAAAUGAUUAAUAUUUUUUCUAGUAAAUAAGUCCUAUUCAAGAGACUUGUAUUUAUGAUUCUCCAUUCAACUUGAUUUGUAUUUAUGAUGAGAUGUGAUACUGCGUUAAAAGCAUCUAAAGAACAAAAUUCUUUAGCAUUCGUGGUUGUUUGAUGCCAUGAGACGCAACAUUUGAACCAAAUUUCCUAUUUGUAUGGAAAUGAAAUAGACUGCAAGAUGUCACCAUACAGAAUUUCUAAGAGGUUUGACAUGUCUGAUAUACCUUAGACGUCAGCAUCAAACAAUACCAUAUGGAAGUCUUUUCAUGCAUUAUAGUGGUAGAAGGACAAAACCAGAAUUUCUAAGAGAAACUUACAUCACUUUUUAAUGCAGUAGAGGCUGUUUGACGGUCAACUGGGUCAAUUGCAAGAAGAGUUUCAAUUAAUUGCAGUGAUGAAGGUGGAAAAUCUUUAAACGUCUCUGCUAUGCAACGUUUGUAUGGUUGCUGGGGCUUAAAUAUUGUAGCAUGUGGCAACUUUGACUUUUUCCAGUAUUCUUCAGAAGGGGAGCCACAAAGCUUAAAAAUUUUAUGCAGCUGCUCCACCUGAGAGAGAGAGAGAGUUAUUAUUUUCAUAGGUAAGUGUUGUGUCUUAGAAGUUCCUAAUAUCAACUAGUAGUCAAAGGUUGAGUAUCAGCACGAGAAAGUAUUGUCAAACAUAUACCCAGAAAAGCAUUGCAAAGAUUAUUCAUUAACAAAGACUAGAAAUUCAUAACAAAUACUAAUAACCAUUAUCGAGGUAAAAAAAGGAAGACAUUAAAACUUAAUACAUUAAUUUAGACACCCUUCAAGAUCAUAUACAAGCCCAUAAAACAAUAAUUAAAUACAACAUUUAUCAAAAUUGGAACCUUGUCAGCUUAACGGAAAAUAAAACUCAGCAGUUUUUUUUUUUUUUUCAAUUCGAUUAUCUUCUUAGGAAUCUCAUCAUUAAUGAAUUACAUAACUGCAAACUUUCCUGUUAUUAUAUAGUUUUUAAGUAACUGAAUUAUAAGUUUUGCAUGAUCUUCGGUUCAGCUGUUCAGCGACAUUCAUAGUUGUACUGAAAAAGCAAAGCAAGUUGCUAACAAACAAUGCAUGUUAGUGAUAAAUCCUUCAUGAUGAUGACCUAGUUAGAGGGAUGAGAUACCUACAACAUGACUAAUUUUUAUUUUAGAAAAUUGGAUGUUAAAUGUCAUGCCAACUAGUUCAUAAGGGAAACAAAGGAAAUAUAUAGAGAGAGAGAGAGAAAUAUGAAAAUUAAACUGGUAAGGAAUGAAUGGUACUUAAAUUUACAUUUUUAUGUUAAGAGGAGCAAGACCAGAAACUGAUUGGCAACCAAAAAGUUUGUAUAAGGCCAUUGAAAGAAGAUUACUGACAACAUAAAAUCAGGCGAAAUGGAAUGGGAGGUUGCAAUUAUGGCAAAGUUCAAAAGGACAAAAGAUACUAUAGCAUAGAAUAUAUUUAGAAAACUGGAAUGGCCAGAAAACAGAAAAGAAGGGUGAGAGUGAGGUGUAGGGGGUAGUUCAACCUGUCAAAUGAUUGAAUGGUAAAGUCGACGAGUAUGCUAAGUGUAAAUGAGAUGUAAAUAAUGUAAAGGUAGCUUCUAUGCAAAAUAUCACAAAUUUCAUGUCAUCUUCAGCUCUUGAACAGUGAUGCAAAUUUUACCAAACAAGAAGCCUAACUGUUCCAAAUUAAAUGAACUUUUAAGCUUCUUACACGGGCAGAGCCUCAAUGUAACUAUAGCAGGGACUGGGGACACAAUGGACAAUGAAAAAUUUUUAAAACUACUAUUCUCCAGAUGUAAGUAUAUGUAAUUUUUCAUUUUAAGUCUAAUGUUUCUUAUAUAAAGCUUGGUUCACAAGGUUGACAAAAGACCCAAAGUUGUAAGCCUAGAAAUAUUAGUUAACUCUAUCAACCUUCUUAUUGUAAGAAAUAUUACUGUAUUAAAUCUUUCAAGGAUAAUAAGCUUAGAAACUUAAUAUUAGUUAAUAAGGUUGUGUAUACUAAGAUUAGGAAAGGAUACAGAAAAUUUUAAUAGUUGUAAGCUCUUAAAUAAUAUGUUUACCAAACCAUUUAUCAAGCAUCAAGAGGAAAUUACGUAUUAAUUCAUAUGCUGGCCCCCCUCCCUUUCCUCGCCACUGUUCUUGCAUCAUAAAAAACAUAGAUUUCUUAAUCUUACAUAUCAAUUUUUGAAAUACUGCCAAGCAAUUCUUGAACACAGCAACAACACGCUAAUGUUCUAUCCUGUGCUAAAACAAUUUUACAUCCAAACUCUUUUUUCUCUCUUCACUUUUCCUUCUCUCACUAAGACCAGGUUAUGCACAAGUGGACCAAGCAGCAUGAACACAACCUGUAUGUUAUCAACAAAGGUAUCAACAGAAUUAGAGCACAAUACCUCAGUCCGCCCUGGCAUAAUCGGCUUCCCAGCCAACAGUUCAGCCAGAAUGCAGCCUGCACUCCAGAGAUCGACACCAACUCCAUAAUCCGUCGCCCCCAAGAGCAGCUCGGGAGGCCGAUACCAUAAAGUGACCACCCGGCUCGUCAUUGGCUGCUUAUGAUUCGGAUCAAAAAAUGAAGCCAACCCAAAAUCAGCUAUCUUUAGCAGGCCAGCAUUAUCAAGCAGAAGAUUUGAUCCCUUGAUGUCUCGAUGCAGCACGCCACGGUUGUGGCAGUGCUCGAGACCUGAUAGCAAUUGGUGCAUGUAACACUUCACCUGCUCACAUUAAACAAAUCCAAGAUCCAAACUUUACAUAAGAAAUAGUUCCUUUAGAACAAAUGGCGUGCAUAUAAAUGUGCGCAAGAUCUAACCUGAGGUUCCGUGAACUUGAUAUCAGGGCUCGCCGCAAGACCUGCGAGAUCAUGCUCCAUAUACUCGAAAACUAAGUAUAGACUACAAGACAUUCUAGAAGUAACCAAGCCCUCCAAUUUCACCACAUUGGGGUGAUCCAGCCGCCGCAGGAUGAGGAUCUCCCGGGCCAUGAAUUUUACGCUCUCCGGCUCCAAAUUGUCGAACCGGACCUUCUUCAAGGCCACGAUUUUGUCGGUUAACAUGUCCCUAGCCUUGUAAACAUUACUAUACGUCCCUUGCCCGAUCUAAGAAACGGAUCAAAAUCCCAACUUUAGGGUGAUUCUUAAAUGCCAAAAGCGGAAAAAAGAGGUGGAAAUGGGGAGUAGAACCUUAUCGAUCUUCUCGAAGGUAUCGGCGCGGCGAGGUGUCCAGCCGUUGAUGGCCUCGCCGGCGACGGCGGAGAGCCACGCGGGCCACCCGGCGGCGACCUGCUCGCCGCGCGCGCGGCUGGAGAAGGAGCCGAGCCUCGGAUCCGGCUUCGGCGCGCGCCGCCGCUCCCUCCGCGGAGGCGGAGCCUCCCCGUCGCCUCCUCCUCCGCCUCCGCCCUGUUCCUUCCUCGGCGGCGCCGCCUCCUUCUCCGGCGCCGGAUCCCGCGCCUCCGCGGCCUCGACCGCCGCGCCCUCGCCGUGGCGCCGCCGCUCCUUCUGGCGGCGCCGCUCGGAGGCGGCGGAGGGGGAGGGGGAGGGGAGGGAGGAGGCCGGUCGCCCGUGGACGCAGCCCAUGUCUCUCACCUCACCUCACCUCACCUCAUCGGGGACGAGAGCGACGCCGACGAAGAGGAGAAACCCUAGGCGCGAGAGCGAGAGGCGGCAACGUUACCGGAUCGGGGGAUCUGGAGAAGUCGGGAUUUGAGCUCGAGGGGGCCGCUCCAAUGGCGAUGCGUAUAUUUUUAAUCGUUGGAGCGUCGGUUCCCGCGAUUGGUGGAGAGAGAGAGAGAGAGAGAGAGAGAGAGAGGGAGGAGGUAAGUUGCUCCGCGGGUGAGCGUAAGAACCCGGCUCACUCGGGCAGUGUAACUGUGUUGACUCGUUGGAAGACGAGCGGGCCUGUGUAGACUAUAGAGAGAGAGAGAGAGAGAGAGAGAGAGAGAGUAGAAAGUAUUUAAUGGACCUAAUCCACCACAUCGUCUGGGGACCUCCUCUCCUGCGCUCUUUUUUUUUUUUUUUUUUUUUUUUUUUUUUUUGGGAAACUUCAAAUACACACGUUGGUUUUGCACUUUUUUCGUUUAAGAAACACUUCAAUCAUCGCCCAUAUAAUUUCACAUUUUCUCACUUUAAUAUUCUAUAAUUUUAAAUGUAUCAAUUUAGUGCUAUGUGAUUUCGUUUUUAUCUUUUUAUUAUCAAUUUUAUUUAAUUUUUUUUUUAAUUAAAUUAGUGACAAAGUUAAAACUAAAUGGUACUAAAGUAAAUAUUCGAUAAACCAUAGAAGUGGUAUUUAAAGUUUACAUUUUAUUUUAGUACCAUGUGAUUUAAAGUGUAUCAAUUUAGUAUCCCGUGAUUUCAUUGUUCUCCUUUUAUUAUCUCAUCCACUAAUUUUUGUUUUCGUUAAAUCAGUAACAAAGUUAAAACUAAAAAAAUACUAAAGUGAAUAUUCAAUAAAUAUAGAUGGGGUAUCUAAAGUUUUUUCAUAUAUAAUUUAACGAAAUAUUAACGGAGGAGCUGACGAAAAGAAAAAAAAAAAUUGAAACCACAUGGUACUAAUUUGAUACACCUUAAACAACAAGAUAUUAAAGUGAGAAAAUACGAAACCACAAUGGUGGUGUUUGAAGUUUACCCUUUUGGUUUUACCAUUUCUAAUAUUUUAAGAAUCACUUUUAAUUUUUAUUUAAAAUUAUUGUGUUAUCACCCAUCGUAUCUAAGAACUUGAUAGUUAGCAUUUGAAAUUUUAAAUUAUUUAUUUUUUUAAGAAAUAUUUGAUGUACUCCAAAAUUUGUAUCUUAUAAUAGUAUUUAAUGUGUGGGAAUACAUGUGAGGACUAGAGCCUAGAAUUUAGGAUGUAACAACAGUACUUAGGAUUUAGUGAUGGGAUUUGAGUCUUAAUAAUGAUGUCUAGAGUAUAAUUAUGAUGAAUAUUAUUGAGGACCCCAAUGAUGUACUAAUAGCAAUGCUCAAUUUUUAGAAAGAAAAAAAUAAUAAUAAGUAUUUUAUAAUACACUAAUCUUUUUUACGAUUUAUAAUAUUUUAAGAAAUUUUCUUACAUUUCAUUCAGAAUCAUUAUAUUAUCACCGACUAAAAUUAACAUAGUUGGAUAAGAAUUUGAUGAUUGGUGUCUGAGAUUCUAAAUUCAAAAUCUAAUUACUUUACAUUUCUAUACGAGUUUAUUUCUAAAAAGUAAAGACGAAAAAAUAAUAUUAUCAUCAUAAAAGACUAUUUGAAAACUUAUAAGUAAUGUUGACGAAACAGUAAAAUAUUUUUUAUUAAUAAAGUAUUAGUUUACUUAUCUUCGUUCUCCUCCAAUAUCUUUUUUCAUAUUAUUUUGUUUUAUUUUAAAUCUUGAAUUAUAUAAUUGAUAUCAGAGCAAAUCAUGCUUCCAACGAUUGGUAUCAGAGUAAAAUUACAAUUUCAACACCAAAUCUCACAAUAUAAUUUAGCUGCUGAAAUAUUAAUAUAUAGUAAAUAUAAAAAUAAUAUUGCAGUGUUAUAUAAUUGAUAAUAUGAUAAUAAUUAAGAUGCAACAUCACUUCCAUAUCAAUGGUCAAUGAUUCGUAAAUAUUUAGUCACUUAAAUUAUUUGUGCAACUUAAUUAUAAUAAUUUAUAAGAUUUGAGUAAAAAAGUAUGUCAUUAAUUGCUUGUUUUAAAACGUGGUGUUGAUUGGAUGGGGAUGGAGUGAUCGAUGUGGUGGUGUACCUUUUGGUCCGCUGAUGACGUGGCAAACCAGGUCUACAUUCUAGGAUUUAGGAAAUGAUUGGGAUUUUUUUAAAAAAAGGAAAUGAUGGAAUUAGAUCCUUCGGAUCAUUUCAUGAGCAUCUUUUUAUUUUUCCCUUUUUUCGUUUUUUUUGGUAUUUUUUUAACUUUAGUAUCAUGUAAUUUAAAGGUAUCAAUUCCAUACUCUAUAAUUUUUUUUUUCUUUUCAUCAGCUUUUCUGUUAAUAUUUCGUUAAAUUGUAUACAAAAAACUUCUUAUAUUUCACUUAGAUUUAUCGAAUAUUCAGUUUGGUAUUUUUAGUUUUGGGAUAACUGUCUAUAUACCUUUCAAAACUUUGGAAAUAUUUUAUUUAUCCCUAUUUUGUUUUCUUUCUAAUAUACUUCUUAUAUAUUUUUUCGUUAUUCCAAAAUAUUUCUACAGUUAUCACCCGUUAAGUUAACUUGGGUUAAACGUGAGUUAAAUAUCUAUCACAAUAAAAAAAAUUAAAAUGUCACUUUUGCUCUUAACUUAAAAAUAAAUAAGAAAUAUUGGUGAUAGUAAAAGAAUAUAUUUGAAAAGACCAAAAAAUAAUAAGGGCAAAUAGAAAAAAUCGAUACUGAUAGAAAGGUAUAUUUGAAAGAACAAAAUAAUAAUUAUCUAGAGAUAAUAGAGCUAAUUAACAGAUUUGUAAUUCUUGAAAUAUAUUUGAAAUAGUUGAAACGUAAAAAGAGUAUUUUCAAU
rnacentral:lncRNA from 1 species